CCGCCGGCACCGAGUUAGCUAAUGCACUGCUCCGUACUACUGUAUGAUGAAAUGUCUGAAUGAUGAUGUAACUUGGACACAUCACGCCGUAGAAGUCUUGCCGGAUAUAACUCUUGUUUUGUACAUGUUCAGAGAGUGUCGUUAACGUUAACUAAGCUGGGAGAUAUGUAAGGGCAAUUUUAUCUUUUAGCAAAACAAUGGGUGAAUGAUUUUCAGUUCUUUGUCCUUAGGAUGAAUGCAAUCAUAGUUUCUUGGUUAUACUGUAAUCGCAUAAGGUUUUCUUGCGUACAAUUUGUUUUCUGAAAAGCAUAAUUUUCUGCAACAAUACUCUUGCUGCGAAACCUUUUCUUCUCUAACUUUCUACAACAAGAGUCAUGUUACAAAAAUCUCUUCUUCUCUAAUUUUCUACAACAAAACAUCUGAUGCAAAAUAUUCUCUUAUUUAAUUUACUGCAACAAGACCCCUAUUGCAAAACUUUUUCUUCUCUAUUUUUCUGCAACAAGACCCUUGAUACAAAACUUCUUCUCUAUUUGUUUGUAACAAGACUCUUGUUGCAAAACUUCCAUUGCAAUAGACCCAACAUCUCUAACUUCUUCUAUGUAUUCCUGCAACAAGACUGUUGUUGCCAAAACUUGCAAGACUGCCGACGGCUGCAACUCGAAGAGAGCAACCCGUGGUCUCUGCAUCACCCCAUUUGUUGCGGUAUACUUUUUCGAAACAGGUGCUCAGUUAUAAGAACUGUAGUAUGGAGCACUCUGCAUGGUCAGAUGAGAUUCAACACAUGGAUAGGAGAGAUAAAAAUAUGCGGCCAUUUCGUCAGAGAUAGAGAUGGAAAGAAGCGGUGCACUUACCCAUCAAAACAUGUGUCAAAGCAUAGAACGUGGUGGAUGUGAGAGGAAAGAUCGAUCGGUUGACCACUAGCUUUUUCCAAUUUCAAUUUAGUUUUAAAGGUUUUCAUAGUUUUAUGGGGGCUUCUAAAGGCAAACAUAUUGGUUUCAAUCGACAAGUAGUGUCAAUGUAAAUGAUUGUUAUCAACCUACUGAUGGAUAUUGAUAGGUUCCUCCACCUUGUCUCCUUCCUAUUCCAAACACUCCUCUCCCAGAUGUCAUAUCCGCCCGAAUGCUACUCGUCUCGCGGUUCCUCAUGUGUCCCCCUCCUUCGAUCCCCUCCCAAGUGUCCUCCUCCAUGAUAGUUAGUGGCCUGGAGCUCGCGCCAUGGGCAUACUCUAGAGUGGUGUUUGAGUUGAAUACAUGCUGCUUCAUGGAUACCUCACUGUGGAGCUUGAGUUCGCACCACCAAGCUCCAACGGAUAUCAUGGUAGAAUGGAAUGAGUCAAGGAUUGCCUAAUAUAGCUCUAACAGGCAUUUGGUGUGUCGGGUUCAUGGUUAGCGAGCCAGCUCGAAUUCAACAAAAGGCGGCGCCUGCAUUGUGAUGGUGAGAGGGCUGUGAAAACCAAGAUUUUUUGAUGUUGCGUACUGUUGGACAUGCUGCAAAUGUGCAUGGUGUUUUGUUUUGUACACAUAGCUUCAUCAAUUAAUGCUCAAUCUUCAUUUGAAGCUUGAGAUCAACUUGCGAGCUUCUCCUUGGGAUGUCAACAUUUGAUGUUUAAACUCUAACUUGAGCUUGGUCACUUGAAUGACAUUGCCCUUGGUCUUGUUCACUUGAUUGAGGGACAUGUUCUUGGAUAGGAAGUUGAUCUUCAAGUAUGAAUUGAUCUUGAUCAUUGUGUUAACCUUUUUGUUGAGGUAGGAGGUUCUACUUGUGUUGAACUUGACUCUUCUCCUUCAUCACUUGAGCUUGUUCAAUGUGUAAGAUGUUUACAACACCCAUGUCCUUGUAGCUUCAGAAGAAUCUAUAUCACCUACGACACUGGGAACAACUUGCUCCACUUGGGAUCCAUUAUCUUCAUCAAAAUCCACAACACAAGAUUUUUCAACACGUUUGACAAAUUUAUUGUAGAAUUUUGAGUGUUUGACACAUAUCCAACAAAUAUGUCCUAAGUAGAUCUAGAUGCAAGUUUAGCUAACUGAGAAGCUUGGGAAGGAUUGAUGGUCACCUCAAGGCAAACCACUAGCUAUUUGAGCUCCUACUUUGUGUUGGAGGCUCAAAGGAGAAGAAGGCAAUACUUUGUGUUGUGGGGGGUACUUGUGUUCCCUAUACCUCUCCAACGAAGAUUAUUAUUUCUCCAAGUGUGUGAAAUGGGGGAUAAUUCCUUCAACUCCAACUUGUGGCUAUUUUGUGCCUCAUCAUUUACUAUCUGCAAGUUAUUGCUAGCUUUGUUUACUUGUGGAUCUUGUGCACCUAGCUUUAUCUUGUCAUAUAGGUUGUAUCCUGUAUUUGCAUAUUUAGAUAACUUACUUUAUCCACAAUCACUAAAGGCAAUUAAAAAGAAAAAAGAUGUAGCCGCCUUUUAACCCCCUCCUCUCAUCCUCCUAUCGGCAUAUUCGAACCCUCAAUCCUGCAUGUAAACCCGGGCAUGGGCAGCCCGACCCGACUACCCGGCCCGAAAAACCCGGGCCGGGCCGGGUCGAGCUUGACAUUCGGGCCGGGCUCGGGCUCGGGCUUUGUUUUGCAGCCCGAAAGAUAGUUCGGGCCAGGCUUGGGCUCCAGCUUUUCUGUAUUUCGGGUCAGGCUUGCAUGUGCGCGUACUAAAAAACAACAUUCGGGCCGGGCUUUCGGGCUUCGGACUUGAUUUCAGGCUAGGCUCGGGCUUGAAAACAUGGAGUAUUUCGGGCUUCAGGCCGGGCUCGGGCUUGAGAAAUGAAGGUCGGGCUUUUACAAGCCCGGCCCGACUUUUGCCCGGGUUUACCUGCAUACACAGUUGUUUGUAGUGGCCAUUCUGAGACAUGUCGUGUCCAAUAGACCUGCCACAUCAAAUAGAUCAUCCUUGGUGGAGGUCGUUCAUUGUAUUCGCGGUGAACGCACCACAAACUCUACCUUGAUACAAACCAAUCUAUGUGAGAAAAUACACCAAAGGAAGAGGCAGAUAUGAGAAAAUUUAGAACAACUUGGCCACCAUUACCAAGUGUUCCGCUGCUAUCACUCAUCAUCUCUAGUCGACUUAGCUCUUGUACGAAUGUAUUACUUGAUUUGUCGUGUGUAAGAUUGUGAGACGGUUUUAAGCUUUUGUCUUGAAGUGAGUUUUUAAAUCUUUGUGUCUACUAUAUAUCUUUGCGUUUGAUGAAUCAAAUUUAUAUGUUAAUUUCCACCUUUUAUUUUGUUUUGUAGUAUAGGAUUCUUUGGAUUUUACCAUGUUCACGCACCUUCUUUGUUUUGGAGUUCAAGGAAAGAACACCAAUUUAUGGUGAUAAAAUCACAUCAAUUAACGUGAUAAAACAUUACCAUAAAGGAGUAAAACACCUGGGAGAAGAGAUAGCUCAUGCAGGAGCCUCCAUAGCACAAAACGGCCCAUCGCUGCCUCUGCUUGGUCAACUACUUCCUUGUGCAGAUACAUCGGGGAUCAGAGACUCCUAGCCACCAGAAACACAACGGAAACGAAGAACUCUAGCCUUCGGAAGGAUUCUAGAGGGGCAAUUGAUCAAGGGACUCCGUCGUCGCACCACCGCAUUGACGUGGCUUGAGACUGCGUCAGUAUUUCCCCAAAGAGGAAGGGGUGAUGCAGCACAGCUACGGUAAGUAUUUCCCUCAGUUGUGAAACGAAGGUUAUCAAUCAAGUAGGAGAACCAAGCAACACUAUGUAAAUGGUGCCUGCACACAAAGAACAAAUACUUGCAACCCGACACGUAAGAGGGGUUGUCAUUUCCUCCUCGGUAAAAAGAUAGAUUAAAUUGUAUGAGAUUGGAUAAAUAAUAUGAAUAAAACACAAAGUAAAAUAAGUAAAUAAAAAGUGCAGCAAGGUAUUUUUGGGUUUUUGGAAUAAUAUAUCUGAAAACAAUAUGAUAAAAGAUAGACCCCGGGGCCGUCGAUUUCACUAGUGGCUUCUCUCGAGAAAAUAACAUAUGGUGGGUAAACAAAUUACUGUUGGGCAAUUGAUAGAAGAACAAAUAAUUAUGAUGACAUCCAAGGCAAUGAUCAUGAAUAUAGGCAUCACGUCGAAGAUUAGUAAACCGACUCCUGCCUGCAUCUACUACUAUUACUCCACACAUCGACUGCUAUCCAGCAUGCAUCUAGUGUAUUAAGUUCAUGGAGAAAUGGAGUAAUGCAAUAAGAACAGCGACAUGAUGUACACAAGAUCUAUUCAUGUAGGAAUAGGCCCCAUAUUUUUAUCCUUAAUAGGAAUGAUACAUACGUGCCUUGCUACCCUUUCUGUCACUUGGUGAGGACACCGCAAGAUCGAACCCAUCACAAAGCACCUCUUCCCAUUAUAAGAAAAUCAAUCUAGUUGGCCAAACCAAACCAAAGUUUUAGAGAAGAAAUGCGAGGCUAUAAAUAAUCAUGCAUAUAAGAGAUCAAAGAAGACUCAAAUAAUAUUCAUGGAUAUAGAUCUGAUCAUAAACUCAAACUUCAUCGGAUCCCAACAAACACACCGCAACAAGUCAUUACAUCAAAUAGAUAUCCAAGAACAACAAGGAGAACAUUGUAUUGAGAAUCAAAAAGAGAGAAGAAGCCAUCUAGUUGAUGACUAGGGACCCAUAGGUCUAUGGUGAACUACUCACACAUCAUCGGAGGAGCACCAAUGAGGAUGAUGAACCCCUCCGUGAUCGUGUUCCCCUCUGGCAGAGUGCCGGAAUAGGGCUCUAGAUUGGAUCUCGUGGUUCUGCAACUUGCGGCGGCUGGAAUUGUGUUUUGUCAACUCCCCUAGGGUUUCUCAAAUAUUUGUGUAUUUAUAGAGUUGAGAGGCGGUGGAGGAGACCCCCGUGGGCCCCACAACCCAUCAGGGCACGCCAGGGCCACUGGCGCGCCCUCGUGUCUUUUGGGCCCCACGGGCCUCCCCCAUGGUGUUUCCUUGGCUCCCAAGUUGUCUUCUGGUCCAAAAAAAUCUCCAAAUAGUUUCGCUCCGUUUGGACUCCGUUUGCUAGGGAUAUUCUAUGAAAUAAAAACAAGCAAAAAACAACAACUAGCAUUGGGCACUAUGUCAAUAGGUUAGUCCCAAAAAGUGAUAUAAAGUGGCUAUAAAAUGAUUGUAAAACAUCCAAGAAUGAUAAUAUAACAACAUUAAACAAUAAAAAAUUAUAGAUACAUUGGGGAUGUAUCAGCAUACCAAGCUUAAUUUCUGCUCGUCCUCGAGUAGGUAAAUUAUAAACAGAAUUUUUGAUGUUGAAUGCUGCCUAACAUGUUCAUCACAUAUUCUUUUCUUUUGUAGCAUGGACAUUUGGACUUUUAGACGGUUCAAAACAAUAGUCUAUAUUUGACAUGAAGACUUCAAUACUCAAGCAUAUCAACGAGCAAACCAUGUCUUUCAAAAUAUCAAAACUAAAGAAAGUUAUCCCUAGCCCAUCAUGCUCAAUCAUUCAUCCAUUCAAAAAAAACACUCGAAUAUUAGCUACACCCAAUGCACAAGUACGAUCAUAGUGCUCCCUAGUUGGUGCUUUAUAAGAGAAGACGAAGACCCAAGCUCGCCACUCAUUUUUAACUUUGUUGCGGAUGCCCUGGCGGCCAUGAUUAAUAAAUCGAGGGCAGCGAGGCACAUUAAAGGUCUUGUAGCCCACCUUAUUCAUGGUGGGGUUACGCAUCUGCAAUACGCAGAUGAUACGAUGCUCUUAUUCGAACCCGACGACCACAGCAUAGCUACCAUCAAGUUACUACUGCUCGCUUUUGAGAUUUUAUCGGGGCUUAAGAUCAACUUUCUGAAGAGCGAAGUGAUCACCAUUGGGAUGGAUGAUCUAGCAAGCACUCGGAUUGCGAAUCUACUUAAUUGCAAGCUAGGGAGCUUCUCGAUUAAAUACUUGGGUCUUCCGAUCUCGACCAAGAAACUAACCAUAGCGGAAUGGGAGCCGCUGUAUGGGAAAGUCGCUAACAGAGUGAGCCCUUGGAGGGGCAGGUUUAUGUCCUCGGCGGCGAGGCUUAUCCUCACCAACUCGAGCUUAUCCUCCCUUCCUAUUUUAAUAAUGGGAAUGUUCCUACUUGCGGAUGGGGUUCACGCUAGAGUCGAUACUCCGCGCUCCCGGUUCUUUUGGGAAGGAGCUAGGACCAAGCGCAAGUACCACUUAGUGAAAUGGGCAGCGGUUUGUAGGCCCAAAAAAUUUGGCGGCCUGGGUAUUAUGAAAUCUAAACUCAUGAACGUGGCCCUGCUUGCUAAGUGGUGGUGGCGUCUCGCCCAAAACGAGUUGGGACUCUAGGCAGACAUCCUCCGGGCUAAAUAUUUCCUAGACGGGAAUUUGUUCAAGGCCAAAAGCAACGGUUCGGCCUUUUGGAACGGGGUCCAAGCGGUCCGACCGGCCUUUACAGUGGGUGCACAGUUCCGUGUAAACGAUGGCAAGUCCACACGCUUCUGGCUCGAUCAUUGGUGGGGUCAGGAACCGCCGUGGCAAUCUCACCCGGAGCUGUACAAACUGGCAACAGACACCAACAUUACGGUGGCCGAUGCUCUACGAGUCCAGCCGCCGGCCAUCUCUUUUAUUAGGAUGCUAGAGGCAACGGAGGCCGCUUGCUGGGACGCUUUGGCGGCUAACUUGGGAGGGCUGACUAGUAGUAAUGGUGCGGAUACGAUUACGUGGAAGUUGACCUCCUCCAAGAAAUUUAUGGUCAAGUCCUUGUACGACAAGCUCUCUGAGGGUGCUACGCUGGAUAUAGCUAGGGGCUAUGGAAGGCUGGCAUUCCUCUCAAAAUCAAGAUCUUCUUAUGGCAAAUGUUUCGCAACUGCUUACCUACUUCGGAUAACGUGGCCAAAUGCAACGGGCCAGCUGACGGAACGUGCACCACUUGCGGUUUAGGGGGAAACGUGAAUCAUGUGUUCUUUGGCUGUGUGCUCGCUAGAUUUGCGUGGAGUGCGGUUAGAGACGCUUUCAAACAAAAUUGGUAUCCAUAGUCUAGCCAUGAUGUUCUGGAUAUCUUAACAUCGCAAAGAGGGGCCAAUGCUAGGAUCGUUUGGAGAUGCGUUGGGGCGCUACUUUGGUCCCUUUGGACGGUUCAGAACAAAAUUACGAUAGAGCACAAGUUUCCGGACCACCCCGCUGAUAUCAUUUUCAAAUGUCACAUUUUCCUUCAGGUAUGGGCACCGCUGGGAAAGAAGCGUGAUGUCGACCGCAUGAACGAGACUAUGGAGUUGAUCAAGAUGACUAUGGUGAAGGCACGACAAGGAUGAUGGCUUGAUCAUGAGACCUCUACUUUUAGCUAUCUUACGUCUCGAUGCUCCGCUUUUGCGCUAUGGAACUUUUGGCUAUGGCCUUCUUAUCUUUAUUCUGAGCCGUGAGCUUGUUGACUGUUUUAUUCGGUUUGUAAGACUUAUUAUGUGUGGAUCCUGCCUGGUGGCUUUAUUAAUUUAAAGCCGGACGCUUCUAGCGUCUAUGUUCCAAAAAAAGAGAAGACGGAGACUCAAAUAAAAAAAUUGCAUAAAAUAAAAUAGAUAGGCCGUUCGCACAGGGAAGCAGAGAUUUGUAGAGGUGCCAAAGCUCAAAUCUUAAAUUGAGAGAUAAUUUUUUUAGAGGCAUGCUUUUCCCAUCAACAAAGACGACUGAGUAAUUUCUAAUACUUUCCAUGCUAGAUACAUCAUAGGCGGUUCCCAAAUAUAAAAUAAAGUUUAUUCCUUUUUCCACCAUUCUAUCACAAUCAUGGCUAGCCGUAUCCAGGGGUGCCUUCCAUACCAAUACUUUCCAAGGAAUUUAUUAUUUGACAACAUAAAGUAAAUUUAUGUUUCCUUUCGGGACUGGGCAUCCCUAUUACCGCCGUACUCUCAUGCAAUGACAAGUGAAUAAACACUCAUCUUGAAAAUAACACAUCUAGGAUGGAAAAAUAUUGGCCACCCCCGCCGCUUCAUGAGAAGUACGGGCACACAAAAAAGAAAUUCAUUUUGAAAAUUAGAGUUGGCACAUACAAAUUUACUUAGAACGACACGAAAAUGCCGCAUAUAGGUAGGUAUGGUGGACUCAUAUGGCAUAACUGGUUUAAGGAUUUUGGAUGCACAAGUAGUAUUCCCACUUAAUGCAAAUGGAGGCUAGCAAAUAGAUUGAGAAGCAACCAACCAAGAAAAGAAAAUUCUCAUAAAUGAGCAUUAAGCAUAAUUAACACCGAAUAAUGCACCACAAGUAGGAUGUAAUUUCAUUGCAUAACUAUUGACUUUCGUGCUUGCAUAGGGCAUCACAAACCUUAACAACAAUAUUCUUACUAAAGCAUAAUUAUUCACCAACAUGACUCACAUAUUACUAUCAUCAUAUCUCAAAACUAUUACAAAGAAUCAAGUUUAUUUUGUCCAAUGAUCUUGAUGAAAGUUUUUAUUAUACCCCUCUUGAAUAUAUAUCACUUUGGGACUAGUUUCAUAUAUUUCCAUUGCUUUUGACAAGCUCAAACAAAUUUAAGUGAAGAACAUGAGCAUAAAAAUUUUCAUCUCUCAAAAUAAUAUAAGUGAAUCAUGAGAGAAUUUCUUAAAAAAAUUACUAACUGUCAAAUAAAUCAAGUGAAGCAUGAGAGUAUUUCUUCAAAAAAAAUUAAAGCACAUCAUGCUCAAAAAAAUAUAAGUGAAGCAGUAGAGCAAUUCCAUAGCUCAAUUUUUUUAAGUGAAGCACAUAAUGAUAUUCUAACAAAUCAUAGCAUAAUUUUGGCUCCCUCAAAUAGGUGUGUCCAGCAUGGAUAAUUGUGACAAACUAAAAAGCAAAAAAACAAAAGACUCAUAUAAUACAAGAGGCAACAAGCAAAACUCAUGAUAUGUGAUACGUCCAUUUUGCAUCAUGCUUUUAUAUCGAUAUUUAUUGCAUUAUGGGCUGUUAUUACAUAUUAUGUCACAAUACUUAUGCCUAUUCUCUCUUAUUUUACAAGGUUUGCACGAAGGGGGAGAAUGCUGGCAGCUGGAAUUCUGGGCUGGAAAAGGAGCAAAUAUUAGAGACCUAUUCUGCACAACUCCAAAAGUCCUGAAACUCCACGGAAGUCAGUUUUGGAUUACAUAAAAAAUAUUGGGUGAAGAAAGCACCGGAGCGGGGCCACCCACCAUCCACGAGAGUGGGGGCGCGCCCCCUAUCUCGUGGGCCCACCUGGCAGGCCUUCGGUGCCCAUCUUUGGCUAUAUGGAGUCUUUCUCCCUAGAAAAAUCAUAAGCAAGCUUUUGGGAGAAACACCGCUGCCACGAGGCGGAACCUUGGCGGAACCAAUCUAGGGCUCUGGCGGAGCUGUUCUACCGGGGAAACAUCCCUCCGGGAGGGGGAAAUCACCACCAUUGCCAUCACCAUUGAUCCUCUCAUCGGGAGGGGGUCAAUCUCCAUCAACAUCUUCACCAACACCAUCUCAUCUCAAACCCUAGUUCAUCUCUUGUAUCUAAUCUUUGUCCCAAAACCUCAGAUUGGUACCCGUGGGUUGCUAGUAGUGUUGAUUACUCCUUGUAGUUGAUGCUAGUUGGUUUACUUGGUGGAAGAUCAUAUGUUCAGAUCCUUUAUGCAUAUUAAUACCCCUAUGAUUAUGAACAUGAAUAUGAUAUGUGUGUAGUUACGUUUGUUCCUGAGGACAUGGGAGAAGUCUUGCUAUAAGUAGUCAUGUGAAUUUGGUAUUCGUUCGAUAUUUUGAUGAGAUGUAUGUUGUCUUUCCUCUAGUGGUGUCAUGUGAAUGUCGAAUACAUGACACUUCACCAUUGUUUGCGCCUAGGGGAAGGCAUUGGGAAGUAAUAAGUAGAUGAUGGGUUGCUAGAGUGAUAGAAGCUUAAACACUAGGUUAUGCGUUGCUUCGUAAGGGGCUGAUUUGGAUCCAUAUGUUUCAUGCUAUGUUAGGUUUACCUUAAUACUUCUUUUGUAGUUGCGAAUGAUUGCAAGAGGGGUUAACCAUAAGUGGGAUGCUUGUCCAAGGAAGGGCAGUACCCAAGCACCGGUCCACCCACAUAUCAAACUAUCAAAGUAACGAACGCGAAUCAUAUGAGCGUGAUGAAAACUAGCUUGACCAUAAUUCUCAUGUGUCCUCGGGAGCGCUUUCCUUUAUAUAAGAGUUUGUCUAGGCUUGUCCCUUGCUACGAAAAAGAUUGGGCCGUCUUGCUGAACCUUAUUUACUUUUGUUACUUGUUACCCAUUACAAAUUACCUUAUCACAAAACUAUCUGUUACCGAUAAUUUCAGUGCUUGCAGAGAAUACCUUAUUGAAAACUGCUUGCCAUUUCCUUCUGCUCCUCGUUGGGUUUGACACUCUUACUUAUCGAAAGGACUAUGAUAGAUCCCCUAUACUUCUGGGUCAUCAAGACUCUUUUCUGGCUCCGUUGCCGGGGAGUGAAGCGCCUUUGGUAAGUGGAAUUUGCUAAGGAAAAAAUUAUAUAGUGUGCUGAAAUUUACUGUCAGUUGUUACUAUGGAAAGUAAUCCUUUGAGGGGCUUGUUUGGGGUAUCUUCACCCCGACCAGUAGAGCAAAGAGUUCCUCCUCACCCUGCUGAAUCUACUGAAAAUGUUUACUUUGAAAUUCCUUCGGGUAUGAUAGAGAAACUGCUAGCUAAUCCUUUUAUAGGAUAUGGAACAUUGCAUCCCGAUUUGUACUUAAUCUAUGUGGAUGAAGUUUGUGGAUUAUUUAAGCUUGUAGGUAUGCCCGAGGAUGUUAUCAAGAAGAAGGUAUUCCCUUUAUCUUUGAAGGGAAAGGCAUUGACAUAGUUUAGGCUGUGUGAUGAUAUUAGAUCAUGGAACUACAACCGAUUGAAAUUGGAAUUUCAUCAGAAGUUUUAUCCUAUGCAUCUGGUUCAUCCUGAUCAUAAUUAUAUAUAUAAUUUUUGGCCUCGUGAAGGAGAAAGCAUCGCUCAAGCUUGGGGGAGGGUUAAGUCAAUGUUAUAUUCAUGCCCCAAUCAUGAGCUCUCAAGAGAAAUUAUUAUUAAAAAAUUAUGCUCGGCUUUCUCUCAAAUCGCUCCAUGCUCGAUACUUCUUGUACUGGAUCUUUUAUGAUGAAGACUAUUGAAUUCAAAUGGGAUUUAUUGGAAAUAAUUAAACGCAACUCUGAAGAUUGGGAACUCGACGAAGGUAAGGAGUCAGGUAUAACACCUAAGUUUGAUUGUGUUAAAUCUUCUAUGGAUACCAAUGCUUUUCAUUUAAUUUAGCACUAAAUAUGGACUUGACUCUGAGAUAGUAGCUUCUUUCUGUGAAUCAUUUGCUACUCAUGUUGAUCUCCCUAAGGAGAACUGGCUUAAAUAUCAUCCUCCCAUUGAAGUAAAAGUAGUUAAACCAAUUAAAGUUGAAGAAAAGACUAUCACUUAUAAUGUUGAUCCUAUUGUUCCUACCGCUUAUAUUGAGAAACCACCUUCCCCUACUAGAAUAAAGGAUCAUGCUAAAGCUUCAACUGUGGUUCGUAGGAGUAAUACUAGAACACCUACACCCUCUGAGAAAACUAAAGUUGAACCUAGUAUUGCUAUGGUUAAAGAUCUCUUGGUUGAUAAUAUUGAUGGACAUGUUAUUUACUUCUGUAAUAAAGCUGCUAGAAUUGCUAGAGCCGAUACUAAAAAUAAACAUAGACCUGUUGUAGGCAUGCCUGUUAUUUCUGUUAAAAUAGGAGAUCAUUGCUAUCAUGGCUUAUGCGAUAUGGGUGCUAGUGCAAGUGCAAUACCUCAUUCUUUAUAUGAAGAAAUUAUGCAUGAUAUUGCACCUGCUGAGAUAGAAGGCAUUGAUGUUACAAUUAAGCUUGCCAAUAGAGAUACUAUUUCACCGAUUGGGAUUGUUAGAGAUGUUGAAGUCUUGUGUGGGAAAGUUAAAUAUCCUACUGAUUUUCUUGUUCUUGGUUCCCCAUAAGAUGACUUUUGUCCCAUUAUAUUUGGUAGACCCUUCUUGAAUACUGUUAAUGCUAAGAUAGACUGCAAAAAGGAUAUUGUUUCUGUUGGUUUAGGGGAUAUGUCUCAUGAUUUUAAUUUUGCUAAAUUUCGUAGACAACCCCAUGAUAAAGAAUUGCCUAGUAAAGAUGAAAUUAUUGGUCUUGCUUCUAUUGCCGUGCCUCCUAAUGAUCCUUUAGAACAAUAUUUGUUAGACCAUGAAAAUGGUAUGUUUAUGAAUGAAAGAAGAGAAAUAGAUGAAGUAUUCUUUAAACAGGGACCUAUUUUGAAACACAACUUGCCUGUUGAAAUUCUAGGGGGUCCUCCUCCACCCAAGGGUGAUCCCGUGUUUGAGGUUAAACCAUUGCCUGAUACUCUUAAAUAUGCUUAUCUUGAUGAAAAGAAGAUAUAUCCUGUUAUUAUUAGUGCUAACCUUUCAGAGCAGGAAGAAGAGAAAAUAUUGAAAACUCUAAAGAAGCACCGUGCUGCUAUUGGAUAUACUCUUGAUGAUCUUAAGGGAAUUAGUCCCACUCUAUGCCAGCACAAAAUAAAAUUGGAGAAAGACGCUAAACCGGUUGUUGAUCACUAACGACGGUUAAAUCCUAAGAUGAAAGGAGUGGUAAGAAAAGAAAUACUAAAUCUUCUGGAGGCAGGUAUAAUUUAUCCUAUUGCUGAUAGUUAGUGGGUAAGUCCUGUCCAUUGUGUCCAUAAGAAAUGAGGUAUUACUGUUGUUCCAAAUGAUAAAGAUGAAUUGAUCCCACAAAGAAUUGUUACAAGUUAUAGAAUGGUAAUUGAUUUCCGCAACUUAAAUAAAGCUACUAAAAAGGAUCAUUACCCUCUACCUUUCAUUGAUCAAAUGCUAGAAAGAUUAUCCAAACAUACACAUUUUUGCUUUCUAGAUGGUUAUUCUGGUUUCUCUCAAAUACCUGUGUCAAAAGAGGAUCAAGAAAAAGACCACCUUUACUUGUCCUUUCGGUACCUUUUCUUAUAGACAUAUGCCUUUUGGUUUAUGUAAUGCACCUGCUACCUUUCAAAGAUGUAUGACUGCAAUAUUCUCUGACUUUUGUGAAAAUAUUGUUGAGGUAUUCAUGGAUGAUUUUUCUGUAUAUGGAACUUCUUUUGAUGAUUGCUUAAGCAACCUUGAUCAAGUUUUGCAGAGAUGUGAAGAAAUUAAUCUUGUCUUGAAUUGGGAGAAGUGCCACUUUAUGGUUAAUGAAGGUAUUGUCUUGGGCCAUAAAUUUUUUUAAAGAGGUAUUGAAGUUGAUAAAGCUAAAGUUGAUGCUAUUGAAAAGAUGUCGUGUCCUAAAGACAUUAAAGGCAUAAGAAGUUUCCUUGGUCAUGCCGGUUUUUAUAGGAGGUUCAUUAAAGAUUUCUCAAAAAUUUCCAAGCCUCUGACUAAUCUCUUACAAAAAGAUGUUCCUUUUGUCUUUGAUGAUGAUUGUGUAGAAGCAUUUGAAAUACUAAUGCGGAGCAUCCCAAGGUCAUCCCCAUGGACCUACCAUCGUCUCACCCAAGUGCCUAGCGGACCCAUGACACGAGAACGUGCAAGAGCUCUCGAAACCGAGGUGACAUCUCUCCUCUCACAUUUCCACUUCGAUGCACAUGAGACAUGGCUACUACCUCAAACAGAGACAUUGUGCAUACUAAGGUAUCAAGGAGUUGGCCAUGAAGAAGCCAAGGAGCAAGGAGAAUCGGAAGAGGAAGUUGGACGUGAAGACGGAGAAGAAGAGGAGCUACGGAAGAAGUCCCAGCCACCGGACGACCGGUCGAGACAAGACGUCCGGAGCCUGAAGCUCCAUACGAACCUCAGCGAGUGGACGUCCGGCCCGGACCGGACGACCGGUGCCCCUGCACCCGAGCCAAGCGAGCGGACGUCCGACGCCACCGAAAGUCCGACAACCAGACGUCCGGCGACCGGACGUCCGACGACCGGACGUCCGGCCAUGGCCGGAAAUCUGCUACACCAGCAUCCGAGCCAGAACGAGCGGACGACCGACGCUUACCAGACGUACGGCCGGCCAUGAGCCACUAGACGACCGGUCCCCAGCGGACGUUCGGUACCUGUCUGUGCACAGGAUUCGGGCCCGAGGCCCAUGUACCCCCUCACUCCAUCCCCCUUUGCACUAAGACUAUAAAUAGACCUACUAUUCAUCCUAGCUAGGGUUAGCAUUGGUUUAGCUCAUAGUUAGAGAUAGAGCAUUGCUCAUCCACAUCGGAUCUACUCCACGAGAGAGACCAUAGCCCCUCUUCGGAGAAGAUCCCUUUGGAUUCAAGACCCCUCUAAGGGAAGAUCCCCUCGUGGAUUCAAGACCUCCCCACAGAGAAGACCGGCUACCUUUGUAUCAUCCUUAGUUGUCCGUGGAUCAUGUGAUCUCUUAUGUACUCGAGGAUCUAGCAUAUGUGUGACUAUUUCUUGUUGGUUUAGUGUUUCGCUCGUGUGUUCCCUCGUGUUUCCCCUAGUUUUCUCCCUUGUGUUCUUCGUGUUCUUCGCGGGAUCCACUCCUUUCGUGAAAGAUCAGCCCCUAGGGUUCCUACCCUAUAUCAUCUUGGUAUCUAGAGCCACGUUGAUCACGAUUUCGGAGCCUCCCCAUUGUGUUUCUAGCCUAGUUUUGUUGAUUUUGUCCCUAUUUCGAAAAUUCCCCACAAAAAUAGCCCCAAUUUUUUUGUGAUUUGUUGGUGUGUUGAAUUUUUGUUGGAUUUGAUCCAUGGAAUUGCUUUGUCUUGAUGGAUCUAGCUUUUUCCCCCUUCCCCCACCUUUUCCAUCCACAAAUCCGCCCGGAUUCGAAGAAUUUCGACCUCUCCAUCACGAACACUGCCAGUUCAUCCCGUGCCCGCGAAUCGCCCAGGCACCGGACGUCCGCUCGCCACCGGACAUCCGACGACCAGACGACCGCUCACCACCGGAUGUCCGGAGUUCCCUGAUGAAACCGAAUUUUUUUCAGUUCAGUCACCACCGCCGCCCCACAUUUCCGUAUACGCACUCCUACCACCUAUACGCCAUCACCACUUCCGCAUACCACCACCAUUGCUUACCUGUUUCGCACUCUGACACGUGUUGCCACUUCGAGCUUUGAGAAUUUGAGUUGCGGUUCCAUGUCCUUUUGUGUUUCGGCUAUCUAGGUACGGUUCGACAUCAACACCACCACCGCUCAUCUUCGCCACGGACGCGUCAUCAACAACGACCACCUCGACUACAUCUUGGUAUUCGUGCCACCAUUUUGACACCAUACCGUAAGCAAGGACGGUAGCCUCGUCUUGGUAUUGCACAUAUCAUUCUUGCCAUUACAUUGAUAGACAUCAUAGCCUUAUUCCUUUGCGUCGCUUACCCAUCGAGACUAGCCUUUGAGUAUUGCCGGCAACGAGACUUGUGCACAUUAGUGAUCAUACUUCCCAUAGCAUACAUACAUCAUUGUUGCAUAUCUUGGUAUCAUCUCUUGUGUCACAAGGUUGUCAUUACAUACACAAUUGAUAUCUUGGUUCGUGAAGCAUUGCAUGAGAAAAGAGCUCAAACAACAAAGAGCCAAACAAGCUUUUAAGCAAAAGGGAAAGAUAAGCAAAGAGCUUUUAAGCAAGAACCAUAUCAUCAUACAACAUUAAGAUUGUCAUACUAGAUCAUCUUGGAUCAUAUCAUAGAAACACCAUACAUAGAGCAUACUUGGGAUAGAAGUCGUUGCAUUUUGCUUAGUAGGUUGUGCACAAGUCUUGUAUCCGCCUAUUAUGCAAUCGUGCUAGCGUCUCCCUAGUGUUGUGCAACAAGAGCAUUUUUGUGGAUUCCACAUUUUGGCUCAUCCUUGGUUGCACGACCCCACUUAUCUUUUGCGUGUGUGUUUCCGUGUACCUUAUAUUGCUUGGUCUACUUGUUGCAUUGCGAACUUGCGAAUCUUUUCCAACAUUAUUGAAGCUCACUUACAAUUGCAUUAAAUUUUGUGCCACCAUCCUAACCAAGCUCCACCAUAAGCUUUUACUUGUGUAGGUGUGAGAAACCGAGAAGAAUUGGUACCAAUUGUGCUAUUUCCUUGUCCACAUUGGAGUGAUCAUUGAUCCACCUUCAACUUCGGUUAAGGUACAUUUGAUAUUUGUUCUUCUCUUUCUACCACUCACAUUUUUCUCUUGGAAUGAUGGAUAGGCCUAGUACUUCUACCAACCCACUCUUCAUUGAGCACAACGACGACAUUAACUCCUACGUCACCAAGAGCCACCUCUUUGGUGCACAACGUGCUUUGCAUCAAGAGCAACAAGCAAUGAGUGAACGCAUCGACAACCUCGCCACUGACUUGCGACUCUCCGAGCAACAUACAAGGGACUACUUCAACCACAAGCUCGACGAUCACAAGCAAGAGAACGACGCAAGAAUGGACGAGAUUCGGCUUUGUUGAUCAACCGCUCUUCUUCCACUUCGUCCUCAUCAAGACGGAGCCUCUCAAGUCGACAUUCCGACUUCACCCUCUCCGGCUCAAGUACACCGACUUUGAAUACUCUUUGACGAGCCGCGCGCAAUGAUCGUCAAGCAAGCUCAAUCCUCUAUGCGACACCGAAGCGACUUUUGUGCUAGCAUGAGAACGGCAACAACAACGACAACAUGAAGAGGAAGAGCGAGCGCGUCUACACCAAGAAGCAUAAGAUGCCGAGGCACAAUGUCAAGAGCAACAAUUGCAAGAUGCUCAAGCACUUGAGGCACAACAAGCCCACCAAGAUUCAAGUUGAGCCAUAGCCAACCGAGGCUGACAAGCUCGUGAACAUGAAGAAGCACUUCGCGAAGAAGCUCACGAACGAAGAUUUCAAGCUCGCAUGCAUCGUCAAGUUCCUCAAGUUCCUCCUUGAGCUCGACAAGCUCCUCCACAAGUUCACCAAGAGCAUGAAGACAACGGAAAUCAUCCACGACAAGAGAAACAUGAGUUCGACAACCCUCCUUGCCAAGAGCAAGACGAUCUUGACAAUCAUCAACAACAUGGACGUCAUUAUCCCUGACCCCAACACAAUGAAGAGCAACGCUACGGCAAGCUAAAAUUCACCAUGCCCAAGUUCAAUGGCAGCAACGAUCCCGAAGAGUACCUUUCAUGGGCAUUGAAGGUCGACAAAAUCUUUCGCUUGCACAACUACGAUGAAGAGAAGAAGAUCACGAUGGCAUCCCUUGAGUUCCAAGACUAUGUCCUCAUUUGGUGGGAACAAGUUAUCGAGCGCCACGAGGCAAGAGGAGAACCACCCAUUACUACUUGGGCGCAAAUGAAGGAUGUCAUGAGAGCAUGCUUCAUGCCUACCUACUACAACCACGACCUCUUCAAGAAGCUUCAACUUCUCAAGCAAGGAACCAAGAGCGUUGAAGAGUACUACAAGGAGAUGGAGAUUGCCAUGAUAAGAGCCAAUGUCACGGAAGAUGAUGAGCAAACAAUGGAACGUUUCUUGAAUGGACUCAAUCAUCCUAUCAAGAAGAUCGUCGACUUCCAACCAUACUCGAAUCUCAUCGAGCUAGUGCAUCAAGCUACCAAAGCGGAACGCCAAGUGCAAGAUGAUUACAAGUAUGCCAAGUUCUCAUCCAAGUCUUACGGCUUCUCCAACACCCAAGCUUCAACGACUCCAACACUGUCUACCAAGCCUUCUACAAGCAACAUCGACAAGUCAAGUUAUAAGAAAGCUUCGUCAACUCCAAGUCAUCCUCCUACUACAAACAACUUCAAGCUGAGAGCUUCAUCAUCAUCAACCCCCAUCGAUGAGUCCGUUAAGACAAGUUCCUUCAAAUGCUUCACAUGUGGAGGCCGAGGCCACAAGUCCUAUGAGUGCACCAACAAGCGGACCAUGAUCCUCAACGACGACGGCACUUACGACUCAAUGAGUGAAGGAGAAAUGGACGCCCUCGAGCAAGUAGCCAUGCACCGGCAAGUGAACAAUAAAGAAGAACAAGUCUUUUGCGAUGAAGAUUCAAGUCCCGCUCUUAUUGUCUGCAAGGUCUUGACUCUCCAACAUCACCAAGAAGAAGACCAAUGAUGCCACAUCUUUCAUACCAAGGCCGACAUCAAUGGACGAUCUGUCAAGGUCAUCAUCGGUGGAGGGAGUUGUCAUAACCUCGCAAGUGAAGAACUUUGCUCCAAGCUCCAAUUGCCCAAGACGAAGCAGCCACAUCCUUACAAAGUUCAAUGGCUUAGCGACCCCGGCACUAUCCAAGUCGAGCAUCGAGUACAAGUCUCCUUCAAAAUUGGCGCUUAUGAAUACACUUUGGAGUGUGACGUCAUUCCAAUGAUCGUUUGUCACCUUCUUCUUAGACACCCAUGGCAAUUUGAUAGAGGUGUCAUCCACAAUGGCCGAACGACCACUACAUCUUCAAGAUGAAAGGAAAGGAGUACGUACUUCGCCCCAUGUCUCCAAGCCAAGUGAUCGCCGACAAGCAAGCCACCCAUCGUGGAGAGAAUAGUGAGAGAGCGAGCCACCAAAAAGAGAGUGAGCGCCACAAGCCCAAAUCGAGCGCCUCCACGAUGAGUGAAAAUAAAAACUUAGUCCUAUUUGCCACCAAAAGUGAGAUAAGAGGAGUAUGUGAGAAUCCAUCUAGUGUCCUACACUAUGUCCUUUUGUGCAAGGACAAUGCACCAAACGCUAACACCUCUCAUGCUCUACCUUUAGUGUUGUCUUCUCUUUUGCAGGAAUUUCAAGAUGUUUUUGCCGACAAGCUUCCUCUGGGACUACCUCCACUACGAGGCAUCGAGCACCGCAUCGACCUCAUCCCCGGAGCACCUCUUCCGAACAAAGCUCCCUACUGCGUCAACCCCGAAGAAACCAAAGAAAUAAAAAGGCAAGUAAAGCAUCUCAUAGACCAUGGACAUGUGCGUGAGAGUUUGAGCCCUUGUGUCGUACCGGUCAUUCUUGUGCCAAAAUGAGACGGUAGCUUUCGCAUGUGCUCCGAUUGUAGAUCCAUCAAUGCUAUCACCGUUCAUUAUAGGUAUCCCAUUCCACGCCUUGACGAUAUGCUUGAUGAACUUAGUGGUGCCACUAUAUUUUCCAAAAUUAAUCUUAAGAGUGGUUACUAUCAAAUCCGCAUACAAGAGGGUGAUGAAUGGAAAACCGCUUUCAAAACCAAGUUUGGGUUGUAUGAGUGGUUAGUCAUGCCUAUGGGUCUAUCAGAAGCUCCGGGUACUUUUAUGCGUCUUAUGAAUCAUGUCUUUCACCCUUACAUUGGUGUGUUUGUUGUGGUCUACUUCGAUGAUAUUCUUGUUUAUAGCAAAUCUUUUCACGAUCAUGUCACCCGUGUUCGAACCGUUUUACAAACUCUUCGAAAAGAGCGUCUCUAUGCUAAUAUGGAGAUAUGCCUUUUUGGCAUUGAUAAGCUUGUUUUCUUGGGUUUUGUUGUUUCUUCUAAGGGUGUUCAUGUAGAUGAGUCCAAGAUCAAUGCUAUUAAGACUUGGCCCCAACCAACCAACUUACAACAAGUGCGUAGCUUUCUUAGCCUUGUGGGUUUCUAUCGUCGCUUUGUGAAAGAUUUUAGCACCAUUGCUUCUCCUUUGCAUGCUUUGAGCAAGAAUAAUGUGCCUUUUGUUUGGUGACCAUACCAAGAUACCACUUUCAAUGAGCUUAAGAAUUUGCUUACUCAUGCUCCCGUGCUUGCAUUACCCAACUUUGACAAGCCCUUUGAGAUUCAUUGCGAUGCUAGUGGUAAUUGUUGGGGAACGUAGUAAUUUCAAAAAUUUCCUACGCACACGCAAGAUCAUGGUGAUGCAUAGCAACGAGAGGGGAGAAUGUUGUCUACGUACCCUCGUAGACCGAAAGCGGAAGCGUUAGCACAACGCGGUUGAUGUAGUCGUACGUCUUCACGGCCCGACCGAUCAAGCACCGAAACUACGGCACCUUCGAGUUUUAGCACACGUUCAGCUCGAUGACGAUCCCCGGACUCUGAUCCAGCAAAGUGUCGGGAAAGAGUUCCGUCAGCACGACGGCGUGGUGAUGAUCUUGAUGUUCUACCGUCGCAGGGCUUCGCCUAAGCACCGCUACAAUAUUAUCGAGGAUUAUGGUGGAAGGGGCACCGCACACGGCUAAGAAAACGAUCAUGUGGAUCAACUUGUGUGUCUAUGGGGUGCCCCCUGCCCCCAUAUAUAAAGGAGUGGAGGAGGGGAGGGCCGGCCCUCUCUAUGGCGCGCCCUAGGGGAGUCCUACUCCCACCGGGAGUAGGAUUCCCCCUUUCCUAGUCCAACUAGGAGUCCUUCCAUGUAGUAGGAGUAGGAGACAAGGAAGGGGAAGAGGGAAGAGAAGGAAGGAAGGGGCGCAACCCCUCCCCCUAGUCCAAUUCGGACUAGGCCUUUGGGGGGGGGGCGGCCUGCCUCUCCCUCUCCCCUAAAGCCCAAUAAGGCCCAUAUACUUCUUCUCCCGUAUUCCCGUGACUCCCCGGUACUCCGAAAAAUACCCGAACCACUCGGAACCUUUCCGAUGUCCGAAUAUAGUCGUCCAAUAUAUCGAUCUUUACGUCUCAACCAUUUCGAGACUCCUCGUCAUGUCCCUGAUCUCAUCCGGGACUCCGAACUCCUUCGGUACAUCAAAACUCAUAAACUCGUAAUAUUACUGUCAUUGAAACCUUAAGUGUGCGGACCCUACGGGUUCGAGAACAAUGUAGACAUGACCGAGACACGUCUCCGGUCAAUAACCAAUAGCGGAACCUAGAUGCUCAUAUUGGCUCCCACAUAUUCUACGAAGAUCUUUAUCGGUCAGACCGCAUAACAACAUACGUUGUUCCCUUUGUCAUCGGUAUGUUACUUGCCCGAGAUUCGAUCGUUGGUAUCUCAAUACCUAGUUCAAUCUCGUUACCAGCAAGUCUCUUUACUCGUUUCGUAAUACAUCAUCUUGCAACUAACUCAUUAGUUGCAAUGCUUGCAAGGCUUAUGUGACGUGCAUUACCGAGAGGGCCCAGAGAUACCUCUCCGACAAUCGGAGUGACAAAUCCUAAUCUCGAAAUACGCCAACCCAACAUGUACCUUUGGAGACACCUGUAGAGCUCCUUUAUAAUCACCCAGUUAUGUUGUGACGUUUGGUAGUACACAAAGUGUUCCUCCGGUAAACGGGAGUUGCAUAAUCGCAUAGUCAUAGGAACAUGUAUAAGUCAUGAAGAAAGCAAUAGCAACAUACUAAACGAUCGAGUGCUAAGCUAACGGAAUGGGUCAAGUCAAUCACAUCAUUCUCCUAAUGAUGUGAUCCCGUUAAUCAAAUAACAACUCUUUGUCUAUGGUUAGGAAACAUAAUCAUCUUUGAUUAACGAGCUAGUCAAGUAGAGGCAUACUAGUGACACUCUGUUUGUCUAUGUAUUCACAUAUGUAUUAUGUUUCCGGUUAAUACAAUUCUAGCAUGAAUAAUAAACAUUUAUCAUGAAAUAAGGAAAUAAAUAAUAACUUUAUUAUUGCCUCUAGUGCAUAUUUCCUUCAGUCUCCCACUUGCACUAGAGUCAAUAAUCUAGUCCACAUCGCCAUGUGAUCUAACAUCAAUAGUUCACAUCUUUAUGUGGUUAACACCCAUAAUUCACAUCGAUAUGUGACCAAAACCCAAACGGUUUACUAGAGUCAGUAAUCUAGUUCACAUUGCUAUGUGAUUAACACCCAAAGAGUACUAAGGUGUGAUCAUGUUUUGCCUGUGAGAGAAGUUUAGUCAACGGGUCUGCCAUAUUCAGAUCCGUAAGUAUUUUGCAAUUUUCUAUGUCUACAAUGCUCUGCACGGAGCUACUUUAGCUAAUUGCUCCCACUUUCAAUAUGUAUCCAGAUGAAGACUAAGAGUCAUCCGGAUUAGUGCCAAAACUUGUAUCGACGUAACCCUUUUACGACAAACCUUUUGUCACCUCCAUAAUCGAGAAACAUAUCCUUAUUCCACUAAGGAUAAUUUUGACCGCUGUCCAGUGAUCUACUUAUAGAUCACUAUUGUACUCCCUUGACAAAAUUAGUGUAGGGUAUACAAUAGGUCUGGUACACAGCAUGGCAUACUUUAUAGAACCUAUGGCCAAGGCAUAGGGAAUGACUUUCAUUCUCAUUCUAUUUUCUGCCAUGGUCGGGCUUUGAGUCUUACUCAAUUUCACACCUUGUAACACAGGCAAGAAUUCUUUCUUUGACUGUUCCAUUUUGAACUACUUCAAAAUCUUGUCAAGGUAUGUACUCAUUGAAAAAAAAAACUUAUCAAGCGUCUUGAUCUAUCUCUAUAGAUCUUGAUGCUCAAUAUGUAAGCAGCUUCAUCGAGGUUUUCGUUGAAAAAAAUCCUUUCAAACACUCCUUUAUGCCUUGCAGAAUAAUUCUACAUUAUUUCCGAUCAACAAUAUGUCAUACACAUACACUUAUCAGAAAUGCUGUAGUGCUCCCACUCACUUUCUUGUAAAUACAGGCUUCACCGCAAGUUUGUAUAAAAUUAUAUGCUUUGAUCAACUUAUCAAAGCGUAUAUUCCAACUCCGAGAUGCUUGCACCAGUCCAUAGAUGGAUCGCUGGAGCUUGCAUAUUUUGUUAGCACCUUUAGGAUUGACAAAACCUUCUGAUUGCAUCAUAUACAACUCUUCUUUAAAUCCAUUAAGGAAUGUAGUUUUGUUUAUCCAUUUGCCAGAUUUCAUAAAAAUGCGGCAAUUGCUAACAUGAUUUGGAUGGACUUAAGCAUCGCUACGAGUGAGAAAAUUUCAUCGUAGUCAACACCUUGAACUUUGUCAAAAACCAUUUUCGACAAGUCUAGCUUUGUAGAUAGUAACACUACUAUCAGCGUCUGUCUUCCUCUUGAAGAUCCAUUUAUUUUCUAUGGCUUGCCGAUCAUCGGGCAAAUCCAUCAAAGUCCAUACUUUGGUCUCAUACAUGGAUCAUAUCUCAGAUUUCAUGGCCUCAAACCAUUUCGCGGAAUCUGGGUUCAUCAUCUCUUCCUCAUAGUUCGCAAGUUCGUCAUGGUCUAGUAACAUGACUUCCAGAACAGGAUUACCGUACCACUCUGGUGCGGAUCUCACUCUGGUUUACCUACAAGAUUCGGUAGUAACUUGAUCUGAAGUUACAUGAUCAUCAUCAUUAGCUUCCUCACUAAUUGGUGUAGUAGUCACAAGAACAGAUUUCUGUGAUGAACUACUUUCCAAUAAGGGAGAAGGUACAAUUACCUUAUCAAGUUUUCUACUUUCCUCCCACUCACUUCUUUCGAGAGAAACUCCUUCUCUAGAAAGGAUCCAUUCUUAGCAAUGAAUGUCUUGCCUUCGGAUCUGUGAUAGAAGGUGUACCCAACAGUCUCCUUUGGGUAUCCUAUGAAGACAUAUUUCUCCGAUUUGGGUUUGAGCUUAUCAGGAUGGAACUUUUUCACAUAAGCAUCACAACCCAAAACUUUAAGAAACGACAACUUUGGUUUCUUGCCAAACCAUAAUUCAGAUUGUGUCGUCUCAACGGAUUUAGAUGAUGCCCUUUUAAAGUGAAUGCAGCUGUCUCUAAUGCAUAACCCCAAAACAAUAGUGGUAGAUCGGUAAGGGACAUCAUAGAUUGCACUAUAUCCAAUAAAGUACGGUUAUGACGAUCGGACACACCAUUAUGCUGUGGUGUUCUAGGUGGCAUAAGUUUGUGAAACUAUUCCACAAUGUUUUAAUUAAAGACCAAACUCGUAACUCAAAUAUUUGUCUCCGCGAUCAGAUCGUAGAAACCUUUUCUUUUCUUGUCACGAUGAUUUUCCACUUCACCCUGAAAUUAUUUGAACUUUUCAAAUGUUUCAGACUUAUGUUUCAUCAAGUAGAUAUACUCAUAUCUGCUCAAAUCAUCUGUGAAGAUUAGAAAAUAAUGAUACCUAUCGCGAGCCUCAAUAUUCAUCGGACCACAUACAUCAGUAUGUAUGAUUUCCAACAAAUCUGUUGCUCGCUCCAUUGUUCCGAAGAACGGAGUCUUGGUCAUCUUGCCCAUGAGGCAUGGUUCGCAAGCAUCAACUGAUUCAUAAUCAAGUGAUUCCAAAAGCCCAUCAGUAUGGAGUUUCUUCAUGCGCUUUACACCAAUAUGACCUAAAUGGCAGUGCCACAAAUAAGUUGCACUAUCAUUAUUAACUUUGCAUCUUUUGGUUUCAAUAUUAUGAUUAUGUGUAUCACUACGAUCGAGAUCCAAUGAACUAUUUUCAUUGGGUGUGUAACCAUAUGAGGUUUUAUUCAUGUAAACAGAACAACAAUUUAUUCUCUUACUUAAAUGAAUAACCGUAUUACAAUAAACAUGAUCAAAUCAUAUUUAUGCUCAACGCAAACACCAAAUAACACUUAUUUAGGUUCAACAUUAAUCCCGAAAGUAUAGGGAGUGUGUGAUGAUGAUCAUAUCAAUCUUGGAACCACUUCCAAUACACAUCGUCACUUCACCCUUAACUAGUCUCUGUUUAUUCUGCAACUCCCAUUUCGAGUUACUAAUCUUAGCAACUGAACUAGUAUCAAAUACUGAGGGGUUGCUAUAAACACUAGUAAAGUACACAUCAAUAAUAUGUAUAUCAAAUAUACUUAUGUUCACUUUGCCAUCCUUCUUAUCCGCCAAUCACUUGGGGUAGUUCCGCUUCUAGUGACCAGUCUCUUUGCAGUAGAAGCACUUAGUCUCAGGCUUAGGACCAGACUUGGGCUUCUUCACUUGAGCAGCAACUUGCUUGCUGUUCUUCUUGAAGUUCCCCUUUUGUCUUUGCCCUUUUCUUGAAACUAGUGAUCUUGUCAACCAUCAACACUUGAUGCUCUUUCUUGAUUUCUACCUUCAUCGAUUUCAUCAUGAAGAGCUUGGGAAUCGUUUUCGUCAUCCCUUGCAUACUAUAGUUCAUCAUGAAGUUCUACUAACUUGGUGAUGGUGACUAGAGAAUUCUGUCAAUCACUAUCUUAUCUGGAAGAUUAACUCCCACUUGAUUCAAGCGAUUGUAGUACCCAGACAAUCUGAGCACAUGCUCACUAGUUGAGCGAUUCUCCUCAAUCUUUUAGCUAUAGAACUUGUUGGAGACUUCAUAUCUCUCAACUCGGGUAUUUGCUUGAAAUAUUAACUUCAACUCCUCGAACAUCUCAUAUGGUCUAUGACAUUCAAAACGUCUUUGAAGUCCCGAUUCUAAGACAUUAAGCAUGGUGCACUAAACUAUCAAGUAGUCAUCAUAUUGAGCUAGCCAAACGUUCAUAACGUCUGCAUCUGCUCCUGCAAUAGGUCUGUCACCUAGCGGUGCAUCAAGGACAUAAUUCUUCUAUGCAGCAAUGAGGAUAAACCUCAGAUCACGGAUUCAAUCCGCAUCAUUGCUACUAACAUCUUUCAACACAAUUUUCUCUAGGAACAUAUCAAAAUAAACACAGGGAAGCAACAACGCGAGCUAUUGAUCUACAACAUAAUUUGCAAAAUACUACCAGGACUAAGUUCAUGAUAAAUUUAAGUUCAAUUAAUCAUAUUACUUCAGAACUCCAACUUCGAUAGGCAUCCCUCUAAUCCUCUAAGUGAUUAUGUGAUCCAAAUCAACUAAACCAUGUCCGAUCAUCACGUGAGAUGGAGUAGUUUCAUUGGUGAACAUCACUAUGUUGAUCAUAUCUACUAUAUGAUUCACGCUCGAGCUUUCGGUCUCCGUGUUCCGAGGCCAUAUCUGUAUAUGCUUGGCUCGUCAAGUAUAAUCUGAGUAUUCCGCGUGUGCAACUAUUUUGCACCCGUUGUAUUUGAACGUAGAGCCUAUCACACCCGAUCAUCACGUGGUGUCUCAGCACGAAGAACUUUCGCAAGGGUGCAUACUCAGGGAGAACACUUCUUGAUAAUUAUUGAGAGAUCAUCUUAAAAUUCUACCGUCAAUCAAAGCAAGAUAAGAUGCAUAAAAGAUAAACAUCACAUGCAAUCAAUAUAAGUGAUAUGAUAUGGCCAUCAUCAUCUUGUGCUUAUGAUCUCCAUCUUCGAAGCAUCGUCAUGAUCAGCAUCAUCACCGGCGCGACACCUUGAUCACCAUCGUAGCAUCAUUGUCGUCUCGCCAAUCUUAUGCUUCCACAACUAUCGCUACCGCUUAGUGAUAAAGUAAAGCAUUACAGCGCAAUUGCAUUGCAUACAAUAAAGCGACAACCAUAUGGCUCCUGCCAGUUGCCGAUAACUUGGUUACAAAACAUGAUCAUCUCAUACAAUAAAAUUUAGCAUCAUGUCUUGACCAUAUCACAUCACAACAUGCCCUGCAAAAACAAGUUAGACGUCCUCUACUUUGUUGUUGCAAGUUUUACGUGGCUGCUACGGGCUUAAGCAAGAACCAAUCUUACCUACGCAUCAAAACCACAACGAUAGUUUGUCAAGUUGGUGCUGUUUUAACCUUCGCAAGGACUGGGCGUAGCCACACUCGGUUCAACUAAAGUUGGAGAAACUGUCACCCGCUAGCCACCUUUGUGCAAAGCACGUCGGGGGAACCGGUCUCGCUUAAGUGUACGCGUAAUGUCGGUCCGGGCCGCUUCAUCCAAUAAUACUGUCGAACCAAAGUAUGACAUGCUGGUAAGCUGUAUGACUUAUAUCGCCCACAACUCACUUGUGUUCUACUCGUGCAUAUAACAUCAACACAUAAAACCUAGGCUCUGAUGCCACUGUUGGGGAACGUAGUAAUUUCAAAAAUUUCCUAUGCACACGCAAGAUCAUGGUGAUGCAUAGCAACGAGAGGGGAGAGUGUUGUCUACGUACCCUCAUAGACCGAAAGCGGAAGCGUUAGCACAACGCGGUUGAUGUAGUCGUACGUCUUCACGGCCCGACCGAUCAAGCACCGAAACUACGGCACCUCCGAGUUUUAGCACACGUUCAGCUCGAUGACGAUCCCCGGACUCCGAUCCAGCAAAGUGCCGGGGAAGAGUUUCGUCAGCAUGACGCAGUGGUGACGAUCUUGAUGUUCUACCAUCGCAGGGCUUCGCCUAAGCACCGCUACAAUAUUAUCGAGGAUUAUGGUGGAAGGGGCACCGCACACGGCUAAGAAAACGAUCACGUGGAUCAACUUGUGUGUCUAUGGGGUGCCCCCUGCCCCCGUAUAUAAAGGAGUGGAGGAGGGGAGGGCCGGCGCUCUCUAUGGCGCUUCCUAGGGGAGUCCUACUCCCACCGGGAGUAGGAUUCCCCCUUUCCUAGUCCAACUAGGAGUCCUUCCAUGUAGUAGGAGUAGGAGACAAGGAAGGGGAAGAGGGAAGAGAAGGAAGGAGGGGGCGCAGCCCCUCCCCCUAGUCCAAUUCGGACUAGGCCUUGGGGGUGCGCGCGGCCUGCCUCUCCCUCUCCCCUAAAGCCCAAUAAGGCCCAUAUACUUCUUCUCCCGUAUUCCCGUGACUCCCCGGUACUCCGAAAAAUACCCGAACCACUCGGAACCUUUCCGAUGUCCGAAUAUAGUCGUCCAAUAUAUCGAUCUUUACGUCUCGACCAUUUCAAGACUCCUCGUCAUGUCCCCGAUCUCAUCCGGGACUCCGAACUCCUUCGGUACAUCAAAACUCAUAAACUCAUAAUAUAACUAUCAUCGAAACCUUAAGCGUGCGGACCCUACGGGUUCGAGAACAAUGUAGACAUGACCGAGACACGUCUCUGGUCAAUAACCAAUAGCGGAACCCGGAUGCUCAUAUUGGCUCCCACAUAUUCUACGAAGAUCUUUAUCGAUCAGACCGCAUAACAACAUACGUUGUUCCCUUUGUCAUCGGUAUGUUACUUGCCCGAGAUUCGAUCGUUGGUAUCUCAAUACCUAGUUCAAUCUCGUUACCGGCAAGUCUCUUUACUCGUUUCGUAAUACAUCAUCUCGCAACUAACUCAUUAGUUGCAAUGCUUGCAAGGCUUAUGUGAUGUGCAUUACCGAGAGGGCCCAGAGAUACCUCUCCGACAAUCGGAGUGACAAAUCCUAAUCUUGAAAUACGCCAACCCAACAUGUACCUUUGGAGACACCUGUAGAGCUCCUUUAUAAUCACCCAGUUACGUUGUGACGUUUGGUAGCACACAAAGUGUUCCUCCGGUAAACGGGAGUUGCAUAAUCUCAGUCAUAGGAACAUGUAUAAGUCAUGAAGAAAGCAAUAGCAACACACUAAACGAUCGAGUGCUAAGCUAAUGGAAUGGGUCAAGUCAAUCACAUCAUUCUCCUAAUGAUGUGAUCCCGUUAAUCAAAUAACAACUCUUUGUCUAUGGUUAGGAAACAUAACCAUCUUUGAUUAACGAGCUAGUCAAGUAGAGGCAUACUAGUGACACUUUGUUUGUCUAUGUAUUCACACAUGUAUUAUGUUUCCGGUUAAUACAAUUCUAGCAUGAAUAAUAAACAUUUAUCAUGAAAUAAGGAAAUAAAUAAUAACUUUAUUAUUGCCUCUAGGGCAUAUUUCCUUCAGUAAUGGCAUAGGAGGUGUGUUAACGCAAGAGAAGCGCCCAUAGCUUACAUUAGUGAGAAACUUUCUGGAGCGCAACUCAAUUACCCCAUCUAUGACAAAGAGCUCUAUGCUUUAGUGCGCGUUUUUCAUGAAUGGGAACACUAUCUUCGCCCUCAUGAAUUUAUCAUUCAUACCGAUCAUGAAACACUCAAGUAUCUUAAGGGCCAAACCAAGUUGAACAAGCAUCAUGCUAAGUGGAGUGAAUUUAUUGAGUCUUUUCCUUAUGUCAUCAAGUACAUUAAAGGUAAGGAAAAUAUUGUGGCGGAUGUCCUUUCCCGCAUAUGCAUGCUUGGUACUCAACUUGAAUUGUAUGUCAUUGGCUUUGAGCAUAUACAAGACUUGUAUGAGCAUGAUCCUACUUUUGCUACUCCUUAUACCAAAUGUUUGACGCCUUCAUCUUGGGAACGCUAUUACAUCAAAGAUGGAUAUCUUAUGAGAGCUAGCAAGCUUUGCAUCCCUGAGUAUUCUCUUCAUUUGUUGCUUUUACAGGAAUCUCAUGGAGGAGGCUUAAUGGGACAUUUUGGAUGCGACAAGACAUUUGCCACGCUCUCCAAGAACUAUUUUUGGCCCAAGAUGUUUCGCGACGUCAAUCGCUUCACCAACCGAUGCUCUACAUGUCUCAAAGCUAAGUCUAAAACUCAAUCCCAUGGCCUUUACAUGCCUCUCCCAAUUCCAUAUCAACCAUGGGAAGAUAUUAGCAUGGAUUUUGUACUUGGAUUGCCUAGGGCUAGAAAUGGAAAAGAUUCGGUAUUUCUCGUUGUGGACCAAUUCUCUAAGAUGGCACACUUCAUAUCAUGCAACAAGAUAGACGAUGCUUCACAUGUUGCCAAUCUAUUUUGUAGGGAAAUAUUGCAUCUACAUGGAGUGCCAAAGACGAUCGUCUCAGACCGCGACGUCAAGUUCCUAAGCUACUUUUGGAAGACCCUAUGCGCCAAGCUCGGAAUCAAGCUACUCUUCUCCAAGGCGUAUCACCCGCAAACUGACGGCCAAACGGAGGUGACCAACCACACACUCUCUGCUCUACUUCGAGUACUCAUCAAGAAGAACAUCAAGGAGUGUGAGGAGUGUCUACCUAUCACCGAGUUCGCCUACAACCGCGCAAACCACUCAACAACUGGCAAGUCCCCCUUCGAGGUCGUCUAUGGAUUCAACCCAUUGUCACCAUUGGACAUUCUUCCUCUACCACUACAAGAGCACAUCAAUUUGGACGCAAGUGCAUGUGUGAAUCAUCUCAAUAAGGUGCAUGAAUAUACAAGGCAUACCAUCGAGUGCCAAGUACAACGACUUGCGACCAAGCUCAACAUCAACAAGCACCCUAUGGUAUUCCACAUUGGAGAUCUUGUGUGGAUACGCCAUCGCAAGGACCGCUUUACCCAAGAACGCAAGUCCAAACUUCGACCACGAGCGGAUGGACCCUUCAAGGUGCUUGCACGGUACAACAGCAACGCAUACAAGAUCGACAUUCCACGCGACAAGUACUCUAUGAGCGACAUCUUCAACGUCAAAGAUCUCUCUCCCUACCAUGGUGAUGAAGAAUUUGAUCUGAGGACGGAUCUUCCCCAAGGAAGGGGAGAUGAUGCGGAGCAUCCCAAGGUCAUCCCCAUGGACCUACCAUCGUCUCACCAAGUGCCUAGCGGACCCAUGACACGAGCAUGUGCAAGAGAUCUCGAAACCGAGGUGACAUCUCUCCUCUCACAUUUCCACUUCGAUGCACAUGAGACAUGGCUACUACCUCAAAUAGAGACAUUGUGCAUACUCAGGUAUCAAGGAGUUGGCCAUGAAGAAGCCAAGGAGCAAGGAGAAUCAGAAGAGGAAGCUGGACGUGAAGACGGAGAAGAAGAGGAGCUACAGAAGAAGUCCCAGCCACCGGACGACCGGUCAGGACCGGACGUCCGGAGCCUGAAGCUCCAGCCAAACCCUAGCGAGCGGACGUCCGGCCCGGACCAGACGACCGAUGCCCCUGCACCCGAGCCAAGCGAGCGGACAUCCGACGCCACCGGACGACCGGCCACGGCCAGAAAUCCCCUACACCAGCAUUCAAGCCAGAAUGAGCGGACGACCGGCGCUUACCGGACGUCCGGCCGCCCAUGAGCCGCCGGACGACCGGUCCCCAGCGGAUGUCCGAUACCUGUCUGUGCACAGGAUUCGGGCCCGAGGCCCAUGUACCUCCUCACUCCGUCCCCCUUUGCACUAAGACAAUAAAUAGACCUCCUAUUCAUCCUAUCUAGGGUUAGCAUUGGUUUAGCUCAUAUUUAGAGAUAGAGCAUUGCUCAUCCACAUUGGAUCUACUCCACGAGAGAGACUGCGACCCCUCUUCAGAGAAGAUCCCUUUGGAUUCAAGACCCCUCUAAGGGAAGAUCCCCUCGUGGAUUCAAGACCUCCCCACGGAGAAGACCGGCUACCUUUGUAUCGUCCUUAGUUGUCCGUGGAUCAUGUGAUCUCUUAUGUACUCGAGGAUCUAGCAUAUGCGUGACUAUUUCUUGUUGGUUUAGUGUUUCUCUCGUGUGUUCCCUUGUGUUUCCCCUAAUUUUCUCCCUUGUGUUCUUCGUGUUCUUCGCGGGAUCCGCUCCUUUCAUGAAAGAUCGGCCCCUAGGGUUCCUACCCUAUAUCAAAUACUUAAGAAAGCCUUGAUUUCUGCACCUAUUGUUCAGCCUCCUGAUUGGAAUUUACCCUUUGAAAUUAUGUGUGAUGCUAGUGAUUAUGCUGUAGGUGAUGUGUUAGGACAAAGAGUUGGUAAGAAAUUAAAUGUUAUCCAAUAUGCUAGUAAAACUCUAGACAGUGCCCAGAGAAAUUAUGCUACUACUGAAAAAGAAUUGUUAGCAGUUGUAUUUGCUUAUGAUAAGUUCAGACCUUAUAUUGUUGAUUCUAAAGGAACUGUUCACACUGAUCAUGUUGCUAUUAAAUAUCUUAUGGAAAAGAAAGAUGCUAAAACUAGACUUAUUAGACGGGUUCUCCUACUACGAGAAUUUGAUUUGCAUAUUAUUGAUAGAAAGGGAGCUAAGAACCCCGUUGCAGACAACUUGUCUAGGUUAGAGAAUGUUCUUGAUGAUCCACUACCUAUAGAUGAUAGCUUUCCUGAUGAACAAAUAGUUGUCAUAAAUGUUUCACGUACUGCUCCAUGGUAUGAUGAUUAUGCCAAUUACAUUGUUGCUAAAUUUAUACCACCUAGUUUCACAUACCAGCAAAAGAAAAAGGUUUUCUAUGAUUUGAGACAUUACUUUUGGGAUGACCCACACCUUUAUAAAGAAGGAGUAUAUGGUGUUAUUAGACGUUGUGUACCUGAGCAUGAACAGGAACAGAUCCUAUGCAAGUGUCACUCCGAGGCUUAUGGAGGACACCAUGCUGGAGAUAGAACUGCACAUAAGGUAUUGCAAUCUGGUUUUUAUUGGCCUACUAUUUUCAGGGAUGCCCGUAAGUUUGUAUCAUCUUGUGAUGAAUGUCAAAGAAUUGCUAAUGUUAGUAGACGUCAAGAAAUGCCUAUGAAUUAUUCACUUGUUAUUGAACUAUUUGAUGUUUGGGGCUUUGAUUAUAUGGGACCGUUUCCUUCCUCUAAUGGGUAUACCCAUAUUUUAGUUGUUGUUGAUUACGUUACUAAGUGGGUAGAAGCUAUUCCAACUAGUAGUGCUGAUCAUAACACCUCUAUUAAGAUGCUUAAAGAAGUUAUUUUUCCGAGGUUUGGAGUCCCUAGAUACUUAAUGACUGAUGGUGGUUCACAUUUUAUUCAUGGUGCUUUUCGUAAAAUGCUUGAUAAGUAUGAUGUUAAUCAUAGAAUUGCAUCUCCAUAAUCCGCAGUCUAGUGGUCAAGUAGAACUGAGUAAUAGAAAGCUUAAAUUAAUUUUGCAAAAGAUUGUUCUAGAAAGAAUUGGUCCAAGAAACUUGAUGAUGCAUUAUGGGCCUAUAGAACUGCAUAUAAAAAUCCUAUGGGUAUGUCUCCAUAUAAAAUGGUUUAUGGAAAAGCAUGUCACUUACCUCUCGAACUAGAACAUAAGGCAUAUUGGGCCAUUAAAGAGCUCAAUUAUGAUUUCAAACUUGCCGAUGAGAAGAGACUAUUUGACAUUAGCUCACAUGAUGAAUGGAGAACCCAGGCCUAUGAGAAUGUCAAACUGUUUAAGGAAAAAGUUAAAAGAUGGCAUGACAAAAGGAUACAAAAACGUGAGUUUAAUGUAGGUGAUUAUGUAUUGUUAUACAACUCUCGUUUAAGUUUUUUUUGCAGGAAAACUCCUAUCUAAAUGGGAAGGUCCUUACGUUAUCGAGGAGGUCUAUCGUUCCGGUGCCAUAAAAAUAAACAACUUCGAAGGCACAAAUCCGAGGGUGGUGAUCGGUCAAAGAAUCAAACAUUAUAUCUCAGGUAAUCCUAUAAAUGUUGAAACUAAUGUUAUUGAAACCGUAACCCCGAAGGAGUAUAUAAGGGACACCUUCCAGAAUGUUUCAUCCUCCGAAAAGGAAGAGGUAUGUGGUGCGGUAAAUAAACUGACUCCAAAACAGUUCUAAUAGCAAAUUUUCUCUGUUUUGGAAUAUUUAAGAAAAUAGGAAAAAUAAGAAGCAGUCCGGAAAGGACACGAGGCGUCCACGAGGGUGGAGGGCACGCCCUACCCCCUGGGCGUUCCCCCUACCUCGUGGGCAGCUCGUGUGCCCUCCGGACUCUGUUUUCUUGCACGAUACUCCUUUUGGUCGGUAAAAAUUCAUUAUAUAAUCUCGUGAAGGUUUUGACCAUCGUACCACGCAAAUAUCUCGAGUCUUUGUUUCGAGCUGUUUUCUGACAGAUCUAGAUCACCAUGACGUCUUCAAGCGCCCCCAAGGACAAGUUUUUCGAGAGGGUCAUCAACCCCUACCUCGCGGAGGUGCUGCAACACCCUCAAACCAUUGAGUUGCGUGAGGGGUGCUGCACAUCUGUGAUGUUGAGGGACCAAGGAGGACCGGAAGCGUGGAGACAAGACUCGAAGCAAUGGAGCAACAAGUUUUCAAGUGCCAGGGGAUGGUGGAACGCUGACUCGACGCCAACCACAUGAUGAUCACGGAGUUCACCAACAAUCACAAGCUGGAUGCCAAGAACAUUGGGGAGACCAUCUUCAGGCUUCACGAGAAAAUCGAGCACCUCCAAGCCCAGAUCUAUGACCUGCAAAACCAAAAUUGUGAGUAUGAAUAUAGAUUCAAGAGGAUGAGUUUGGCUGCAUAUUUGAGGAUCCCGGAGACUCGAUCAUCCUUCUAUGAUGGUGAGCCUAUGCUUUGGAAGAUGGACGACAAGCCUACAUCAUCAACAACUCCAUCAUCACUAGCACCAAAGGAGAAUUGAGUAUUGGGUAUGGGCACUCCCCUUGGAAACUGCCAAGCUUCGGGGAGUGCCCCGGUAUCGUAUCACCAUCACACUUUUAUCUUUACCAUUUUUCUUAGUUCAAUCCUUUUGGUUAUAUCUUGAUCUAGUAGAAUAAAGUUUUAGUAUGAUCUAGUUUUGAGUUUUGCUUUAUGAUCCUUCUAUGUAAUCGAGUCCGUGAGCUAUAUAUAAUAAAGAUUAGUGUUGAGUCAAGGGCUUUGCUAUCUUGCUGUGGUCAUGAGAAAAAAGAGAAAGAAUAAAAAGAAAUAAAGAGAUCAUAUUGAUCUUAUGGAGAGUAAUGACUUCACAAAUAAAGAGCAUGAUGAAUAAAAGUUGUUGAGAGUUGACAAACAUAGUUUUAAUCAUCGUUGCAAUUAAUAGGAAGUAAUAAAGAAAGAGAGAUUUUCACAUAUAAAUAUACUAUCUUGGACAUCUUUUAUGAUUGUGAGCACUCAUUAAAAUAUGACAUGCUAAAAAGUCGAUGUUGGACAAGGAAGACAACGUAAUGGGUUAUGUUUUCUUACAUCCGAAAUAAAUUAUAUUGUCAUGGAUCAUCCAACAUGUUGAGCUUGCCUUUCCCCCUCAUGCUAGCCAAAUUCCUUGCACCAAGUAGAGAUACUACUUGUGCUUCCAAAUAUCCUCAAAUCCAGUUUUGCCUUGAGAGUCCACCAUAUCUACCUAUGGAUUGAGCAAGAUCCUUCGAGUAAGUUGUCAUUGUUGCAAGCAAUAAAAAUUGCUCUCUAAAUAUGUAUGAUUUAUUAGUGUGGAGAAAAUAAGCUUUAUACGAUCUUGUGAUGUGGAAGAAAAAAAAGCGACAUACUGCAUAAUAAAGGUCCAUAUCACAAGUGGCAAUAUAAAGUGACGUUCUUUUGCAUUAAGAUUUCGUGCAUCCAACCAUAAAAACAUAUGACAACCUCUGCUUCCUUCUGCGAAGGGCCUAUCCUUUAUUUUUGUCAUAUACUUUAUACAAGGUCAUGGUGAUCUUCACCUUUCCUUUUUUGCAUUUUAUCCUUUGGCAACACUGUGUGUUGGAAAGAUCCUGAUAUAUAUAGCUAAUUGGAUGUGGGUUUUCAUAAACUAUUAUUGUUGACAUUACCCUUGAGGUAAAAGGUUGGGAGGCAAAACUAUAAGCCCCUAUCUUUCUCUGUGUCUGAUUAAAACAUCAUACUCAUAAGUAUUGUGUGAGUGUUAGCAAUUGUGAAAGACUAAAUGAUAGUUGAGUAUGUGGACUUGCUGAAAAGCUCUUAUAUUGACUCUUUCCGAUGUUAUGAUAAAUUGCAAUUGCUUCAAUGACUGAGAUUAUAGUUUGUUAGUUUUCAAUGAAGUUUCUGAUUCAUACUUGAAAUUGUGAAUGAAUUGUUACUUUAGCAUAUCGUAUGACAAUAUAUAUAUAUAUUGUUGUUAUAAGAAUGAUCAUGAUGCCCUAAUGUCCGUAUUUUAUUUUAUCGACAACCCUAUCUCUAAACAUGUGGACAUAUUUUUCGAUAUCGGCUUCCGCUUGAGGACAAGCGAGGUAUAAGCUUGGGGGAGUUGAUACGUCCAUUUUGCAUCAUGCUUUUAUAUCGAUAUUUAUUGCAUUAUGGGCUGCUAUUACACAUUAUGUCACAAUACUUAUGCCUAUUCUAUCUUAUUUUACAAGGUUUGCAUGAAGAGGGAGAAUGCCGGCAGCUGGAAUUCUGGGUUGGAAAAGGAGCAAAUAUUAGAGACCUAUUCUGCACAACUCCAAAAGUCCUGAAACUCCAGGGAAGUCAGUUUUGGAUUAUAUAAAAAAUAUUGGGCGAAGAAAGCAUCAGAGGGGGGCCACCCACCAUCCACGAGGGUGGGGCGUGCCCUACCCCCUGGGCGCGCCCCUGUCUCAUGGGCCCCCUGGCAGGCCUCUGGUGCCCAUCUUUGGCUAUAUGGAGUCUUCCGCCCUGGAAAAAAUCAUAAGCAAGCUUUUGGGACGAAACACCGCCGCCACAAGGCGGAACCUUGGCGGAACCAAUCUAGGGCUCCGGCGGAGCUGUUCUACCGGGGAAACAUCCCUCCGGGAGGGGGAAAUCACGACCAUCGUCAUCACCAUCGAUCCGCUCAUCGGGAGGGGGUCAAUCUCCUUCAACAUCUUCACCAGCACCAUCUCUAUCGUGGAAUUGUCACGGCAGAUGUCCUUAGUGUCAGGACUUAGUUGCGAGGCCAACGCAUCUAUGUGGUAGCUUGAGAGGGGUUGAGCGGGACGAGACACGCGAUGUUUUACCCAGGUUCGGCCCCUCACGGUGGAGGUAAAAGCCUACAUCCUGCUUCAUUGAUAUUGAUGAUGAUGACCACAGUUACAAGAGUGCUCUAUCUCGAGAGCUAUUGUCUAAACCUAAGUUGUCCAACUCAUGGAACUUGUGAAUCUUGCCCCUUUUGGGGAGCCCUGCCCCUCCUUAUAUAUGUUGGAGGGGCGAGUUACAUGUCUAGUCCUAUUAGUAUUAGGACUAGUCUAUCUCUAAUACAAACCGGAUACAAGUCCAGGUCUUAACUCCUUGUAAGAUAAUGUUCUUCAUGCCUUUCCUCUUAAACCAGCCCACCAUAGUAUGAACCGGCCUUCAUGAACCGCCCAUUGGGCCACCGGGUCUUGUCGCUCCUCUGACCCGCCUGCCGGAUUACCAAUGAAUCAUAAACCGCCAGGUCCAAACGGGUCACCAGUGAAUCGUCAAGUCUUAGCCGGGUCUCAAGUAAACCGCCAAGUCCGGCCGGGUUAUACUUCCGGCCGGUUUACGCCGCGGGGUAUAUCCCCGACAAUCUCAUCUCAAACCCUAGUUCAUCUCUUGUGUCCAAUCUUUGUCCCAAAACCUCAGAAUGGUACAUGUGGGUUGCUAGUAGUGUUGAUUACUCCUUGUAGUUGAUGCUAGUUGGUUUUCUUGGUGGAAGAUCAUAUGUUCAGAUUCUUUAUGCAUAUUAAUACCCCUCUGAUUAUGAACAUGAAUAUGAUUUGUGAGUAGUUAUGUUUGUUCCUGAGGACAUGGGAGAAGUCUUGCUAUAAGUAGUCAUGUGAAUUUGGUAUUCGUUCGAUAUUUUGAUGAGAUGUAUGUUAUCUCCUCUAGUGGUGUCAUGUGAACGUCGACUACAUGACACUUCACUAUUGUUUGGGCCUAGGGGAAGGAAUUGGGAAGUAAUAAGUAGAUGAUGGGUUGCUAGAGUGAGAGAAGCUUAAACCCUAGGUUAUGCGUUGCUUCGUAAGGGGCUGAUUUGGAUCCAUAUGUUUCAUGCUAUGGUUAGGUUUACCUUAAUACUUGUUUUGUAGUUGCGGAUGCUUGCAAGAGGGGUUAAUCAUAAGUGGGAUGCCUGUCCAAGGAAGGGCAGUACCCAACCACCGGUCCACCCACAUAUCAAAUUAUCAAAGUAACGAACGCGAAUCAUAUGAGCGUGAUGAAAACUAGCUUGACGAUAAUUCCCAUGUGUCCUCGGGACCGCUUUCCUUUAUAUAAGAGUUUGUCCAGGCUUGUCCUUUGCUACGAAAAGGAUUGGGCCAUCUUGCUGCACCUUAUUUAAUUUUGUUACUUGUUACCCGUUACAAAUUACCUUAUCACAAAACUAUCUGUUACUGAUAUAUUUCAGUGCUUGCAGAGAAUACCUUACUGAAAACCGCUUGUUAUUUCCUUCUGCUCCUCGUUGGGUUCGACACUCUUACUUAUCUAAAGGACUACGAUAGAUCCCUAUACUUGUGGGUCAUCAAUAUGUGACGAAUAAAACUAUAGCUCCAAGUAAAAUUACCGAUGGUUGUUAGAACAAAGAGGGGAUGCCUUCCGGGGCAUCCCCAAGCUUAGUUGCUUGGUUUUCCUUGAAUAUUAACUUGGGGUGACAUGGGCAUCCCCAAGCUUAGGCUCUUUUCACUCCUUAUUUCUUCAUCCAUCAUGAUCUCACCCAAAUCUUGAAAACUUCAAUCACACAAAACUUAACAAAACCUUUGUGAGAUCCGUUAGUAUAAUAAAGCAAAUCAACACUCUAAUUAUUGUUCCAAACCAUUCAUAUUUUAUUAUUGCGAUGUACCUACUGCAUUCCAACUUUGCCAUGGCUUAUANNNNNNNNNNNNNNNNNNNNNNNNNNNNNNNNNNNNNNNNNNNNNNNNNNNNNNNNNNNNNNNNNNNNNNNNNNNNNNNNNNNNNNNNNNNNNNNNNNNNNNNNNNNNNNNNNNNNNNNNNNNNNNNNNNNNNNNNNNNNNNNNNNNNNNNNNNNNNNNNNNNNNNNNNNNNNNNNNNNNNNNNNNNNNNNNNNNNNNNNNNNNNNNNNNNNNNNNNNNNNNNNNNNNNUCUAUCAAAAAAUAGAACAUUAGGUAGUAAUUUGGACCUUGUCCAUACUUCUGUAACUCCAAAAAUUAUGAAACAUUAGGAAAGCAUAGGAAAUUUGUAUAUCAAUCUUGUGUACAAAAAUCAGAAUUUUAUCGUGCUUCUGUGGUUUUUAACAGUUCUGCUACUGGCCGCAAAAGUGUCUGUUUUCAACAAGAUCAAAUCAACUAUCACCCGACAAGAUACCAAAUGCUUUAAUUGGCACAAACACUAAUUAAAACACAAAAAACACAAUCAUAAUAGUAGCAUAAUUGUGCAAACACUCAAGCACAGAAAGAAAAGGCAAAAAUAAAUUGUAUUCAUUUGGUUGCCUCCUAACAAUCGCUAUCAUUUUAUGCCCCUAGCUAGGCAUAAUGCAUAGACUCAAGUGUUGUCAUCUUUGGUCUUUGCCCCAUAGGUUGCCCUCAUGAUUGAUUCAUAUAGUGGCUUAAUUUUUUUUCUAGGGAAGUGUUCCAUACCCUUUCUUAGUGGAAAUUGAAAUUUAAUAUUGCCUUCUUUCAUAUCAAUCACAACACCUAUAGUUCGUAAAACGGUCUACCAAGUAUAAUGGGACAAGACGGAUUGCAAUCAAUAUCAAGAACAAUAAAAUCUAUGGGCACAAAGUUCCUAUUUGCAAGAAUAAUAACAUCAUUAAUUCUUCCCAAAGUCUUUUUAAUAGUAGAAUCUGCCAAGUGCAAAUUAAGAGAACAUUCUUCAAUAUUGGUAAGACCAAGCACAUCACAUAGAUAUUUCGGAACAUUCUUCAAUAUUGGCAAAAAUAAGAACACUAGCACACAAAUCACAUAACACAAAGCACUCAAAAAUUUUAAUCUUGACUUUAGUGGUAGGUUCCCAUUCAUCAUAUAAUUUGCUAGGAAUUGAAAUCUCUAACUCUAUUUUUUCUUCUAAAGCUUUCAUCAUGGCAUCCACAAUAUGUUUAGUAAAAGCUUUAUUUUGUUCAUAUGCAUGGGGUGAAUUUAUCAUGGAUUGCAACAAAGAAAUACAUUCAAUCAAAGAGCAACUAUCAUAAUUAAAGUCUUUGUAAUCUAAAAGAGUGGGCACAUCACUUGUUAAAGUUUUGACCUCUCCAAACCCACCUUUAUCAAUUUUUUCAUCAAGAUUUUCACCCUCCGAAUCAUGGGGACUCCUUCUAGCUAAAGUUGACUCUUCUUUAGUCCCUUUAUCAUCAUUUUUAAUCUUACUAAACAAGGAAUCAACAGAAGAGACACCAAUCACUUUAAGAUCUUCAUCAUUAUUUGUCAGAGUUGGAUAGGCGUGUAAGCUAAGAGAGCAGUGAAAGGAUAUCCAAACAUCGUCGGAACAGUGCACAAGGGAGUGAUGUGUGGAUACCUAGUUUGGGCCGGCGUUUGGUCAUGCUCGCCUAGCUAGGGUGCAGGUCACUUUAGAGCCGUUGAGGGUGAUGCGCUAGCGUUGGCUGGCCGCGCACGGAUCCAGAUCUUGAGUGGCAGCGGAGCGCUACGAUGCGGUGGACGAGACUGUUGGUGAACAUAUGUGGUUGAUGCGGUGGUGAUGCGAUUCGAACUUUGCUUGGGUUGCCAGUGAAUUACAGAUUUGAGCAAUCUGGGCGUAGAAGGGGACGGUUAAGAAGGGAGAUUUUGCAGGGUUGUAAUUGGGGCCGNNNNNNNNNNNNNNNNNNNNNNNNNNNNNNNNNNNNNNNNNNNNNNNNNNNNNNNNNNNNNNNNNNNNNNNNNNNNNNNNNNNNNNNNNNNNNNNNNNNNNNNNNNNNNNNNNNNNNNNNNNNACCACGACACGACCCUGGUCUACCUGGUGCGCCUACAUUUGAGAAUGCAAAUGAAUCUUCUUUCAUUUGCAAACGAAUCUGUAUGUAUUACCAUGCCCGUGUUUUCCUUGCAAUAAUUAGUCAUUCGAAACGAGAUACUAUAAAUUAAUUAAUGAGGAGUUAUUUGAAAAAAAUUGAAAUGGUAUCCACGCUAACGUGGAUUAGAGUGUGUGUCACAUAAUAUUAGAGUGUGUGUCACAUAGUGAUCUCCAAUUCUAACGUGGAUUUCACAUUUCACUGUAUCCAUGCUACUUUUUUAAUACAAAUUCAUAUGUAUAUGAUGAACACCAUGGUAGUGAGAAAACUUUUGGAUGGAUCCAAACAUAUGACCUACAAAAUAGCACAACAAAUCGAGUCAAUGUCAACUUUUCGAAACCUAGUGUGGCAUGAAUUCGAAAUAAUUACCCAUAUGCAUGGUCCUCAGUUCAAAUCUUACAAUGUACACCGAAUUGAAACAUCGAUAUUAAGUCUCAUACUAUCUACAUUCAAAUGUUGUUUUUAGCCCCCCCCCCCCGCGCGCAUACACGCUACAUACUUCCUGUAUCGGUCAAUCUUCCUCUCCUAACCACCUUAGGAAGCUAUCGGUUUCCAACACACAUCCAUUCUUUCUCUCCAUAUUUCAAUCUCUAACUCUCUCAACUACACAACCCCCUUUUUCCACUCUGUUACGAAAUGUACUUACAUCACACACCCGCCAUUGCACCCCAUGCCGAGCUCCCUCUCUCUCUCCCCUCUCCCUCUCACCCUCUCGCGCUAAAUACAUGCAUUGCCUAUCUAGCCCCCCAAUCUCUCGUGCUCACGCACGCACGUUGUCUAUCUAGGUCACUCCCUCGAGACUGUCUCACUCUUUCUUCCGCACGGCGGGCCACACUCGCUCAAUCUCGCCCUCUUUAUCUGAGUCUCGUUUAACCUCGUUUUGUUUCAUACACAAAUUAUAUAUCUCCCUGUUCGGGCCUCGAUCGACACACUCUAUACUCUCUCACGCAGAUUGUCUAUCUAGGUCAGUCCAUCGAAGCCGCCCCCACUCUUUUGACCUCAUGGCGGGACACGCUCUCUCUCUCUCUCUAUCCCUCUCUCUCUCUCUCUCUCUCUCUCUCUCUCUCUCUUUGUAUGUCUCGAUUGACCUCGCUCUUUCUCGGACAAAAACGAUAUAUCACCAUGUUUGAGCCCAAUUCGACUUAUUCACAUUGUAUACUCUCUCACGCACAUUGUCUAUCUAGGUCACUCUCUCCAACCCGUCUCACUCUUUCGAUCGCACGACGACCCUAUGUGAUCGAUUGACCUUGCUUCCUCCCACGCACAAAAUAUAUCUACACGUCUGUGACUGGAUCAUCUCUCAAGCUCCAUCUUAUAGCCCUCACCCUUUCCAAAAGCUCAAUCGGACAAUAUCUCACCAGAGCAUAUAUAUUUGCUCAAUGAAUGUCGGACCACACUCACUUUGUCUCUCUAUCUAUAUGUAUCUCGAUGGACCUCGUUUUCUCACGCCGUAUCUUCCACACAUUGAAGCUACCUCUCCAUCCCUCGCAAAGCCGGAGCUAUUUACAUUGCAAGGGGCACUCCAACCUUGGAUUAAUUUGUGUAGGCAUUUAUUUCGGUCGGUUUACAUUAUAUUUUCGUAGCAUUCGGCCCACAACUACUCGAAACACCGUUGCAACCCCCGCAACUCCCCUAGUUGAUUUCCCUCUGGCUCGGUCAUCGCUCUCUCGCACGUCCUUUCUCGCCUUCAAUGUCGCACCAUAACUCUGUUGUUCUCUUCAAUUAUUAUAAAUAAGCUACAAAACUACACACAGAUAGUCCACUUGGAAUGGAACAAACUUCGACCCACAAAUUAAAGUUCUACAAACUACACACCGAGGGGCCCACAUGUCAUGAAACAAAUUUGGACCCAUAUACAAAUUAAAAAAUAAAGGACGAGGAUCGAACAUGCGACCAGGGCCUUGAAGCCGCAUGUCAAUAGGCAAUAUACAUAGAACAACAAUGUUUGUUGUACCUUCCUUUGUUCACAUAAUAUUUUUAUAUUACCACAGCCUAUUUAAUUUAUAACAUGUAAUAUUAUUUUUAGUACUAUUCGUCUUCACUUACUGGUGGGUUCCAUGUGUGAUCUCUCUCUCUCCUCCCCUUUUGUGUUUAGACGCACGGGCAAACAUGAAGAACUCGCGGGCGAUGUUGCUGUUGACCAUAUCUGGAUGCGUUCACAAGUUACGGCACUAGUUUCACGUGCUAGCAGCACUAGUCAGUGUGUACGUGCAAUGCACGUUAAUUUGGAAGUAUAUUAAGUGCAUGCAGAUAUUAAGUAGUAUAUUAUUUGCGUGUUAUUAUGUGAUUAGCACUAUUUUUGGCAUGCAAUUAACUGCACGCUAAACGUGUUGAGCGCUCGACAUUGAAGCAGUCUAGGUCGUUGGAUGACAAGGAAUACAUGUGGCUUGAUGACGUUUUAUAUUUAAUUUGAUACGGCUCUAGCAGAACAUUCAAUCGAUCAAACCAUAGAUUUCGCUCAGUCUGACUCCGACUUUAAAUUAUACGACGAUCGAUCUAAAAUAAACGAAAAUGAUAAACGUUCGGAUUUUAAGCAUGUCAAUCCGAAUGUUUUUCAUGGCAAAUUUAGAUUACGCAGCGGCGGCGGGGGCGUCUUGCGGUGGGAAGCGGCUCCUCUGCCGUGCUCUGUGUGUCGUCGGGCCAUGGACCGACGGCGACGGCGGCGCCUUGCGUCGUUGUUGGCGUACUCCUGGACGUUGGCCUAGCUUCAAGGAAGGCCAAAAUGUUCUGCACUUCGAAGUGAGUCAAUUGGCGGGAGGAGGCGACUGGCGUUGGUGCAAGGAAGCGGUCGAUGGCGGCCAUCCAUGCCGCUGAGGGGGGCACUGGCACCCGUGCGGGGACAGGCGCUGUCAAUAGCGCGGCGGAGACAUUCGUGUGCACGGGCACCGGCACGGGCGCGCACGUCAGUGCACAUGCAGGCGCAUGCGCUGGCAGGUGCACGGGCACCGGCACAGGCGUGCACGUCAGUGCACGCGCAAGCGCAGGCACUGGUAGGUGCAAAGGCACGUGAAAGUUGGCGGGGACCUCGUGGAACCCCGUUGCAUCAAGCUCGGCAACAAUGUGUGGCUCCCGGCCCAUCAAUGCCACGGGGAUGGGCGCUGGCGCAGUCGGGGCGACGGGAGCUGGAACAAGAGCGGGGACAGGCGUUGCGUCUUCCAGCAAGGCCAGUUCAAGCUUGUACCAAAGCGCCUUAUGUUCUUGAGACUCCGGCUGGGUGUCUUCCUCAGGAAACUGGAAGACUAAGGGCAGACCAUUGUGAUGCGGCAUGGCGUACGUUUAGGUCAGGCUGGUUGGAGGUAGACGACAAGAGAAUCAUAGAGGAAGAGAGAAGAUUGUAGCAAUACCGGGUAUUGCGGGGUUGAUUUUAAACUGCGGCGCCGGUGACAUUAAAAGUGGGAGCAGUUGGGACGAAGGUGGGCGGCGGAGCCUGGUCAAAGGGCUCGCCUCCCGGUGAGCCUGCACAGCGGUCUGCUCGCACGCCUCCCUGUCAGUCAGCGCAGCGGUCUGCUCGCACGCCUCCUAUCGACUCACACGCUUGCUUGGACGGCACCUGCCGAUAAGAAGCGGGACUCGUGGCGGCACAUAAACGCCCACGGUUUCAAUAGUGAAAGCGUUCGCCUUAACGUGACAGGACUUUGUUCCAAAAUACCUUGGCUCUUCAUUUGUGCAACUUGUCAUAAGCAGCUUGUCUCAAAUUGAAGAAAAAAAUUACGAAGUAAUAUUUGUGCCAUAUCACGUGACCAUGCUCGGUUUCAAGAAUUUAUGCUCACUUUUGGAUUUUCUGAAAUUUAAGAUCCAGGGUUCGAAACAAUAUCAUAACCUGCAUCAUGCAAUAAAUUUUCAAGCCAUACAUCUGUCCUGUUGUAUUUCUUAAGAAAGGAUUUGGUCAAACAUUUUGCUUAGUUAGACUUCAGACAAGUUAUAUAUGCAGAGCAAAAGGAUAAUCCCUCCAUACCAGUGCAUUGCCUGAUAUAUUAACUCAAGUACUAGGCACGAAUAAACGGGCUCAAUUCUGUGCUCAUCCUGGUGUAGUAGUAGUAGUAGUAGUACUAGGCAAUGCAGUUGACGGGUGACCUUGGCGAGCGGCGAUCGAGGGAAUUGAACCGUGCUCGGCACGGUAGGUAACGUUGUCUAGUUACUAAAGCAUCCCUCCGUUGUUCAUUGGUAGCCAUUAUGGACCAGGGACAUAAGGGGAAUUUCCUAGGGCUGGAAUUUUGGCCGCCAGAUAUUUCGACUCAAAACGCGGAGGCUCGACUGGUUGGGGUUGCCUAAUGUGCAUACCACGCACACCACCAAACGGACACGAGCCCGGUUUUUUUUAGGAUCAGCAGGAGCCAAGGUCUGGCUGGUACGCCGUUGGGUCCUACCAUUCGAGAAUAUGAAAGGAACCUUUUAAAUUGCCGAACGAAUCUAUGUGUAUUACAAUGCCCGUAUUUUCCUUGCAAAUACUAAUCUCAACGUGGUAAUUGAUUUAUGACGAGUUGUUGAAUUAGAGUUUGUGAUAUAGUGAUCUCAAUGUGGAUUUCACAUUUCAUGGUAUCCCUGGUAAGUUUUUCAAUGAAAAUUCAAAUUUAAAAGAUGAACAAUAUGGAGGUGAGAAAAGUUUGUAUGUAUCAAGCAUAUGACCACACACACACACACGGACACCCACACACGAACACAACAACAAUCCAAUCAGUAUACUGCAUCUAUUUUUCCAAACCAUGCAUGUAUGACACGAAUUCAAAAAUACUCCUUCUGUUCCUAAAUAUUAGUCUUUUAGAGAUUUCAAAAAGCAACUACAUACGGAGCAAAAUGAGUGAAUCUAGACUCUAAAAUAUGUCGAUAUACAUCCGUAUGUGCCAUUCCACUUGAAAUCUCUAAAAAGACUAAUAUUUAGGAACGAAGGAAGUAAAAUGUAAGACAUGCAUGGUCCUUAAUUCAAUAUUUAAAACAAACAUGGAACUGAAACAUGAAUAUUAAGUCUAGUACUACAGUACAUGCAAACUUGUGUUUAAUUAGGCGGAGCUAUGAUUGUCGGGGGUCGUCCCCUCGACCUUAGAUAAAAUUGUGAAGCUCUGUUUAGGGUUGUUUAGAUUAUAUUUGUCCCCACCCUCCCAACCACCGAUUGGUUGUGCACCCUCACCCCUCCUCCCCGGGAAAAUAUCAUGUGCCCCCAUACCUUAGAUGCUACAUGCCGAUACGAGUUGCUUGGAGCUUGUAGAUCUGAGAUAUAGUAGCUCACAUGAUGUCUUAAUAUUUUUACAGGAAACCUUGAUGAGUUUGAGAAUUGCACACAAUUUUUACAAAAACUACUCAGAUCCCAUAUCCAAUGACCUCCAAGCUCGUAUCACCGUAGCAUCUAAGAUGAAGGAGGACAUCAUAUUCUCCUGUAUGUAAGAAUAUCAUGUGCUACCACACCUUAGAUGCUUUGGUGAUACAAGCUCUUUGGAGCCAUUGGAUUUGUGACCCAACACCUCCUUGGUGGUUCGAAUGGUUUUUUGCAGAAAAGCCCCCAAAGAGUUCGACCACUGCUUACAAGAACAAAGACUGCUCAGAUGCCAUUGGAUCUCAGAUCAAACGACCUCGAAGCUCGUAUCACCGUAGCAUCCAAGCUGUGAGAGCACCUUAUGUUUUCUCGCACGGGAGAAUAUGAGGUGCUCCCGCACCGUAGAUUCUAUGGUGAUACGAGUUCACAAAGAUCUAACGGCCCACAGUAGGAGGUUUGAAUGUUUUUGCAAUAUACGACUGAGAGAGUUUGGGAAUUGCGUAGAAAGUACAAGUAUUACGCAUGUGCCAUCUGAUCACUGAUCAUACGACCUAGAUGCUCAUAUCACCGUAGCGGGUAAUUAAGCUACAGGGAGCACCUAAUAUGAGCAACAGGGAGCCGUUGGAUCCAAGAUGCAGCGGCACACACGAGGCUUGAAUGUUUUAUUUGCAAAAAAACCUUUGGAGAGUUUGGAAAUUGCGCAUAAUUACAAAGACUACUCCCAAGCCAUUGGAUCUCACUUCCAACGGUGUAAAAACUCGUAUCACCAUAGCAUCUAAGCUGCGGGGUGGAUGUGAUAUUCCAUGCCGUUGUCAUUUUUGUUCGUAAACUUGCAAAAUACAUGUAACUUGUGUCGUUACUUGUCUAACCGCGCAAAGUGUUUGUUCAAAAAAACCAUCCUACACUAAAAUAUCGGAACAACACAUGGGGGUCCCACUUGUCAUUAAUCAAAUUUGGACCUAAAACUAACAAAUCUGAAAGACAAGAUUCGAACUGGCAACCUGGACUACAAAGUGUAAGUCGAUAGCCUGAAACAACAACAGUUGUUGGCUUUGUCCCAUAACUUGAUUUUAUACAGUAUUACGUUGAGUAGAGUGGAGGGAGUGCCUCAUCAACACGUGCAUGACCGUUGACUCACUUACUGGUGGGUCCCAGGUCUGCGAUCUCUCUCUUCUCUCCAUCGUCUAACCUUUGCACGGGCACACACGAAGAGCGGCGCUAGCUUGCCGUGGUGUUAUUACAACUAAAAAAGCUUGGAAAAUAGAAGAAUCGCCUAGAACAAGAGACGUUGUGGCUGGUCGAGAUGGAGCUAAACACACCUAUCCUCUGUGCCAUGUUAGCAUGACGAAGCUGUGUGGCUAGUUAGAAAGCUGAUCAUAGCAGACCAGACACGAUCGCCACUGUCUCGCACAUCGGUACCACCUUCGGCAACGGAUCGAGCAUCGGCAGUUGCUCUAGCACUGACAGCGCCAGCAGCUCAGUUUGAUCCAGCUAAGGAUUGGGCACCGACCGCGUCAGCGGAUCAGGCUGAUCUACCGGAGGAUCGACAUUGGCACCUGCUCCGACACCGGCACCAGCUCUACAAGGAGCACCAUCUCCGGCAGCAGCGGCGGCUUCGACACCUGCACCAACACUUGCACUUGCAUCUGCUCCGGCCCGUGCAGCGGCAACCGAAUGAGUAGUUACACCAGCAACAGACUGGGCUGCAGUUCGCACUUCAUAUACCAAAGUCCUUACAAAAACUGACAUGUCCACCUUCUUGGUAAGCAUUGGCCGCCCAAGUGUUUUGUUCUUUUUUCUUUCCAUGCUGUUUCGCAUGAUUCACUGUGUUGAUCUAACUGUUUGGGUAUGUCUUCUUGUUUGCAAACAGAGAAUUCCUAGAGCAACGAGGGAGUCAUUCAACAAUCCGGGCGACAACGGCCAAGUUUCUCUUACCAUGCGCAGCCUUGGUGUGAAUGAACCUGCUCAAUAUACCGUAAGUACAAAGGAUGGUCGCAUGAUGAUUGAUGCUAAAGGAUGGUCAAGGUUCAAAUCUAAAUCAUAUCUUGCGGUAGGGGAUGAUCUCAAAAUCGAACUUUCUUGGCAAGGAGAGCUGGUCCAAAUCAACUUUGAGAUUCUUCAGUAGCAGCACGCAACUGCCGAACUGAUAUAUCCUACGAGAGAUUUUGAUGUAAUAAUGUGGCAUGGUGAAACAAGUGUCCUGUGUGUAUAAGUAAUAUGACAGUAUUAUUUAUCACAUGGUAUAUAAUUGAUAGAAUUGCAACUCCCAUUGCUGGUUAGGAACUAUCAUUCGAUUUCAUUCCAAAAGUUAUCGUGUUUUAUUCAAUUUUGUGUAUUCGCCUUGCGACAGCAUCUAAAACCAGCGCCGUACCGAUCGCUUGCAAUAUGAAAAGCGCUGAGGUAGAACACAUGGGCCCCCAAACAUGCAGGGUGGGCCUACGGCCCAAAGUCCAAAACCGUGAGCCUGUCCAAGUAUUAUAUUCUCAGCUGACCCCCCAUAAUGCCCGUGCAUUGCACGUAACAUCAAGAUGCAUUUGUAUGAGUAUUUUAUCUUGUGAGAGAAAAGGAUGAAUGGGGGAAGGCCUUAUUUGCAAAUGUGGAGAGGUGUGUGGGUACCUUUUUGCAAAAUUGCCAUAGUUUCCUUCCUAUCCGUCAGAUAUAAAUCAGACGGCCUAUAUUGCAGGAUGGCAGGCACACCAUCAUCACCAACUCGUCUAUACUGUGUUAAAAACAACUCUGUUUUUUACAAUUAUAUAUGUUAUAUAUAUUCCCCUUGAUUUUUCUUAUGUAUAAAGUUGUGAUAUAAAAGAUUUGUAUAUUUCUUUACACAGGGAGUAUCUCUCUGUCAAAAAUAUAUUUUUGUGUAACUAGUUACUCCUGUCUUUCUACUUCCUUUCGCUGAUAUGUGGGGCAUUCGGCAACGAGGUCCAUGUGCCAUAUGCACAAAUUAGAUUGCACAACUGCAUGGUAGACACACCCCGGUCGUAGCGCCACAGUAAUGCCCAAUGAGCCAUCAAAUCACAACCCCCCCUUCCAUCUUUAGCAGUAAGCUAAACGGACGAAGCGGCAAUAUUUCGCUAGGCCUGAAUCCCCUUCUCCCUCGUAUGUGUGUUCAGAUAAAAACCCCUCUCGGCGAUUGCAUAGGGUUUUCUCAUGGAGAACCAAGUAUGAAUUCUUCAUCCAUCCCCGAUAAAUCCAAGUCCCUUGGUCGCGGGUAAUCCUAGGAUGGCAGCCGCCGCUGUUUAUGCAUUUUUCUUCCUACUGAAUCUAGUGUGUUUCAUUUGCAGUGCCCAAAGUGUGAGGACCCUAUAGGUUUUUGCGCCCUCGGCAAGACGCCAAACUUGUUCCUUCUCAUCCUAACACAGGAUUUUAAAACGCGCACAAUAUGUUCCUAGAAUCCUCUUUUCUAUCCGAGAGGGUGGGGUUUUUUUGAACAUGUUGUCGACUAAUUUGGAAAUUUGGAUUGCUAUAUUUGGAUAAAAGGUACUACCAGUACGAUGGUCAACACCGACGUGAAGGAGGAAGUUAUUUCUAGAUUUGGAUAGGGAAUACAUUGUGUUCUCAUAUUAUUUUUCAUGCAGUGCAUUAUUUGCUCUGCCAGAACACAUGUACUCAAGAUUAUCGGCCUUGGCAUAACUGAAUACACCAGUUUAAUGAUCACAGUGAAGACAAGCCAUGGAUAUAAGUUCCGAGUUGGUUUCAUGAACCAAGAAGAUCGCUGCUUUUUUAUGGCCGAACUUGGAUAAACUUUCUCAAGUGUUACGGACUGAAAGUUGGCGCACGAAUGUUGAUGGAAAUAGCAGAACCUGGUCUCAUCUUCACUGCGAUCUUCCACCCCGACGUCGUUCCAAUUGUUCAUCCAUGUUAGUUUUGUAUCUGGUUCUUGCUUGUUGCCUCGAUUACUUCUUAAUCCACCUAUUCUGUCUAACUAAUCACAAUUUAACUUUAGAAGUAGCAACAAAUCUCUAACGAAGAUGCUACUUCUAACUAAUGUUUUCUUAUAAUUGGUGGCACGUGUAGGUUUUUUCAGAGUUAAGCAGGUUGCUCGUUUGUUAUUUUGUAACAACUCGGCUGUUACUAAUGGCACUGAAGUUGACUGGGACGACAUCCACAAGUUCCUACACUUUAUUGAUCGUCUUGAGGUCCUUGUGGGGCGUUUCAAUGGUGGAAGGCCACAUGGGAUAUGUGCGCCACUGCUGCACUCGUUGAACAAGUCCAACUAUGUCGAGAAAAUUAUGGUACGAGCUAUUUUCUGUUAUAUAUGUUGUUCAUAAACUAUUGCUUAUACACAGCUUUACAGCUAUGAUCUUCUUGAAACAGAAACUGCCCAGUUAUAUUAUUCCUAUACAGAUGCCUGGCCAUGGUCGGGUCAGACUUGCGCUUGGUCACAACAUGAUGUUUAUGUCGACCUACUCCGUUCCCCUUGGAGGUGAAAAGAUACUUAUUCAUGGGUGGUCUCAAAUAAUGAAGGCCCGUCCAUCUUGGAGAAUAGGACAGAAGAUUAUGUUCCUGCUUUUCCUUGGCUCUAAAGCGAAUAUCCUGUUUAUUGACCACAUUGCGAGAUGAAGCCGCUUUCAGAAGGUUGUGGAUGCGCGGGGUGGCGCCUGGGCCUUAUCCUAGAGCUUGGCGGCCUCACCCUUGGUUAACUGUAGGCAAAGUAGCACUGUUCGAGGCGUGCUUUGUACGGUUGAACCUGUAUAAGUACUCAUACUGCUUUCAGCUAUGGUUGUUAAGUGCCCCUGCUGGUUUCAGUUAAGGUUGUUAAGUACUCCUACUGCUUUUACAGUCUGUCGUGUAUCUUCAGUCCUGUCUUCCUCCAGCCAGCAAAACCAAACUAGCACCGGCGAGGCCGCCUGCUUCCGCCUCCCACGGCUGGCUGCGCCUCAGCGCAUGCAUCGCCACCCCACCGUCUCCUAAAUCGUUAACACCGACGUCUGAGGCCUCCCCGUCGUCCUCCGCGUGCUUUGGUGCGCUCGCCGCAGCGCCGCCCUCUCACAUUGUCAACAUGGUCAACAAACAACAGGAAUCGGCAUAAGUACGUGGAGAGGAUGACAGUACGGGCCCACCAUGUCAGCGUAUGAAAAAAUAAAAUGCUUCCUCCUAGUGUUUUCUUGACAUCUGGGACCCACGACAUUGUGAGCGUAUAUAGUCAAUAGACAAGAGAAUAGCACAAGAUCGGCUAACACCUCGGACGUAGCUGCUCGAGCAGUAUUUUUUUGUUAUUGUUGAGACGGUGCAGGGUUUGAACUGGGUUGUGGCCCGUCUAGCCGAGGCUUAUAUUUUAUGUUCACCAUGUGACCAGCCCAGCUAUUUUUUCUUUGUGAAAAUGAGCCCGGUUUAUUUUUUUUUGAAGAAUACCCAAUCCAGGCCUAUUUAUUUUUCUACGCCCUGAUGGGCUGCAACUCUUUCAAGACGCCUGCAAAUUGAAAGUGAUAUGAAAUUGGUUGUAAAUAUAAAAAUAGAUGACAAAUUAGCAAUUACUUUAUAAUUUCUGAAUUUUUUCACAUUUUCAGAUUCCUAUUUCACUGGGCAUUAACCUAAUUUAAAUAUAUCUUCAAAGUACUUUAAAUCUGGCUCGACAUUUCGGUAUUAAAAAUAGUUUGGAACCCACAGAAAUAUGCGAAAUUGGCCCUGGCCAACCAAAAAAUGGACUGCAAUAAAUUGCAUAAGAAUUCGCAAUGAGCUAUAUAUAAAUUAUUUAAAAAGAGGGAAUGGUCUGACUUAUGGGCCUAUUAAGUUGAGGCGUAUGCAAGAUUUUUUUAGUUAUUAUAUACGUCAACAAGCGAUUCUAGCACACGUAGCCGUUGGAUGUCAAUCCAACGGCCGUCGUGUUUCUUCAAUCUUUGGUCUUCUUGCUCUAGCCGCCAAAUCCAGCGCCGUCGGGACCGCCUGCUCCCGCCUCCCGUGCAGGCCUCACCCCCCUACUAUUCCCACCGCUGGCUAGGGCAUCCCUCUACUGACCCACACCCCAUGUUAUUCUGCGGCAAUGGCAGCCUCACACCGCAGCCGAACCAGUGAACCCUCGUACUUCUCUCCGCGUGGGCAUCCACUGCCGCGUCUUCCCCGGAUCCGCGUCGUCCCCUUCCUAGGCCUCGCCGUCGUCCACCGCCCUGGUGCUCUCGGCGCGGCGUGGUCAACGUGGUAAAGGAACGAGUUCCAUCGGAAGAGUACUGUCGUGGAGAGGCUGACAGCUGGGUCCACGGCAGCCGCAAGGAAGUGCCUCCUUAUUACGCGGAAAAUAAUUAUUCCUCCACCUGAUAGCAGGGACCCACCAGACGGGCCACCGUAUUUGGCGAAAAAAAUGUUUCCCCCAUGACUGCUGGGACCCACCGAACGGGCCACCGUAUUUCGCGAAAAAACGUUCCCCCCGCUGCCAGCUCGGACCCACCGGAAGUGCGUCCUUAUUACGCACAAAAAAAUGAAUACUCCCCAUGCUGGUUGGGACCCACCUUGGUGGGAGGCUGACUUGUGGGCCUACUAAGUUGACGGGGACGGAGUGUUUUGUCAACUUAGUCAAUAUGAACGAUUCUAGCUCCAGUGACCGUACGAUGUCCAUCCAACGGCCGUAGUGCUUCUUCAACCUCUGGUCUUCCUGCUCCAGCCGCCCAAAGGAGCGUCGGUCGUGCCGCAUGCUCCUGCCUCCCGUGGCCGGUUGUGCUGCCGCGGAGGCCUCACCGCCCCUACUAUUCCCACCGCUGGCCAGGCCAUCCCUCUACUCACCCACACCCCCUGUUAUUCUGCGGCGACGGCGGCCUCACACCGCAGUGAACCAGUGAACCCUCGUACUCCUCUACGUGUGGGCAUCCACUACCGCGUCUUCCCCGGCUCCGUGUCGUCCCCUUCCUAGGCCUCGCCGUCGUCCACCGCCCUGGUACUCUCGGCGCGGCGUGGUCAACGUGGUCAAGGAACGACUUCCAUCGGACCUGGACUGUACGUGGAGAGGCUGACAGCUAGGUCCAUGGCCAUAGCAAGGAAGUGCCUCCUUAUUACGCGCAAAAUAAUUAUUCCUCCACCUGACAUCAGGGACCCACAGGACGAGCCACCGUAUUUCGUGAAAAAAUGUUUCCCCCUGACUGCUGGGACCCACCAGCUACAUCUUCGCACGCAAAGAAGUGCGUCCGGGCAAAAAAAACGAGUCGCCCCCUGACUGCUGGGACCCACCAGCUACAUCUUCGCACGAAAGGAAGUGCCUGACAGUCGGGACCCACCUGGUCGAAGCGUAUGUAGCGUUGUCAUUCUGGUCGCGAAUGUGUACGUACAUACUGGUUGAUGUAGAGGCACGCACGUGUCGUAGCAGAGGCGCGCACGUGUCGUAGCAGAGGCGCGCACGUAGCAUGUACACGUAUGUACAACGGCCAGGGUGCAAACAAGUAAAUACGACCACGUACGUACAUACGGGCGGGGUCUCGAAUGCCUACUUGCGCUUACGUACGGCCAUGGCUCGUGUACAUGGUUGGGUCGGAACGGAGAAACAGCGUCGUCGUCGUGUUCAUGGGGAGCCAACCGGCUGGGUCGAAAUGGAACGCGUCGUCGUGUUCAUCGGGAGGGCUUGGACAAAACAGUCAAUGGAAACGAGGCCUGGCGUAUCAUAGAACGGAGCAAAUGGCCUUGUGUUCGACCGGCCACGUUCGAAACGGGAUCCUGUUCAUCGGGAGGGGUCUGGCGUACCGCAAAACGGAGGAAACGGACCUCCUACGGUUGAAACGGGGGUUCUGUUGAUCAGGAGGGGUGUGGCGUACCGCAAAACGGAGGAAACAGAUUUGUGUUGGAGCGCUACAGUGGAAACGAGUGUCCUAUUCAUCGGGAGGGGUGUGGCGUACCGCAAAACGGGACUCCACGGGAUACUUUUCAUCUCCACCAUCGACCCCCUUCAGCCUCCACGGGCUACUAUUCAUCCACUGUCGACCUCCUCCAGCCUCCACCUGCGACUGAUUAUCCACGGGCUCCUGUUCAUCCAACCUCCACCACCCGCUACUCCACCGGCUACUGUUCAACCAGCCCUCUCCAUGGGCUCCUGUUCAACCACCCCUCCACGGGCUACUGUUCAUCCAACCCUCCACCGUCUACUAUUCAUCCUGCCCUCCACGGGGUGGUCCUGUUCAUCCAGCCCUCCACGGGGUCCUGUUCAUCCAGCCCCAACCGGCUCGAUCGAUCGGGGUCCUGUUCAUCCAGAGGCAACACCACGGGGUCCUGUUCAUCCACCCCCACCGGGAACUGUUCAUCCAAACCCCCCAGCAAUGCUCACUAUUCAUCCAGAGGCAGCAUCGAUCGACUUCAAUUAGCAGCAGUAGCGAAGGAAUCGCUCGAUCGGGUUCAGUUAACAGCCAUCGAUCGGUCGCUCAAGUUCAGUAACGCGUAGCCUGCAAUGCAAUCGCUCGGGUUCAGUUAGAGCCCAACGCCUCGCUAGGGUUCAGUUAGAGCCCAACGCCUCGCACCCUCGCACCCGACCACCCACCGUAACCGGGAACACCCUGAUAUUUUCCUCGCCCUCGCUUCUACCACGGUUUUUGCCAUCAUGGACGGCGCAAAGAAUGUCAUGAAGCUGCGUCUCCGGCCCGCCCAGGACGAAAAGCCCAUUUUCUGUCAUGAUUUUUUGUCAUAUAAGUAGGAACCCACCACAUCUAUGAUGAUACCGUGUUUUGUCCCAAUUAUUGUCAUAGAAGUGUCAUAAGUAUGACAUAAAAAAAUUCGUUCGGCCCAAAAUGUCACGGAUGUGUCUUUUUUUUGUAGUGUAAGAUCAUCACUCUUAGAAACGAUAUUAUGAAUUUUAAGCAACUUGAUCAUGAACAUGUUGCACAAGCUUGGGAGAGGAUGAAAUUAAUGAUACGUAAUUGCCCUACACAUGGUUUGAAUCUUUGGAUGAUUAUACAAAAAAUUUAUGCCGGAUUGAACUUUGCUUCUAGAAAUCUUUUAGAUUCGGCUGCGGGAGGCACUUUUAUGGAAAUCACUUUAGGAGAAGCAACUAAACUCCUAUAUAAUAUUAUGGUUAAUUAUUCUCAAUGACAUACUGAAAGAUCUACUAAUAGAAAGGUGCAUGCUAUAGAAGAAAUCAUUGUUUUGAGUGGAAAGAUGGAUGAACUUAUGAAAUUGUUUGCUAAUAAAAGUGUUUCUUUUGAUCCUAAUGAUAUGCAUUUUUCUACUUUGAUUGAGAAUAAUAAUGAAUCUAUGGAUGUGAAUUUUGUUGGUAGGAACAAUUUUUGUAAUAACGCGUAUAGAGGUAAUUUUAAUCCUAGGUCGUUUCCUAGUAAUUCCUCUAAUAAUUAUGGUAAUUCCUACAACAAUUCUUAUGGAAAUUAUAAUAAGAUGCCCUCUGAUUUUCAAUCUAAUAUUAAAGAAUUUAUUAGUUCGCAAAAGAGUUUCAAUGCUUUGAUUGAAGAAAAAUUGUCUAAGAUUGAUGAGUUGGCUAGGAACGUGGAUAGAAUUUCUCUUGAUGUUGAUUCUUUGAAACUUAGAUCUAUUCCACCUAAGCAUGAUACCAAUGAGUCUCUCAAAGCUAUGAGAAUUUCCAUUGAUGAGUGCAAAGAAAGAACCGCUAGGAUGCAUGCUAAAAAGGAUUGCUUUGUGAAAGUGUGUUCUUCUAGUUUCCAUGAAAAUAAAGAUGAAUAUCUAAAAAUUAUUGAUGUGUCCCCUAUUAAAUCUUUGUUUUGUAAUAUGUAUCUUGAUAAUGAUGGGACUGGAUAUGAGUCAACUUUAGUUAGAAGGCGUCCCAAUGAUUCGGAGUUUUUAGAUCUUGUUGCAAAAAUUGAUAAAAGUGGGAUGGAAGAGGUCAAAACUUUAAAUAGCAAUGAACCCACUAUCUUGGAUUUCAAGGAAUUUAAUUAUGAUAAUUGCUCUUUGAUAGAUUAUAUUUCCUUGUUGCAAUCCGUGCUAAAUUCUCCGCAUGCUUAUAGUCAAAAUAAAGCUUUUACUAAACAUAUCGUUGAUGCUUUAAUGCAAUCUUAUGAAGAAAAGCUUGAAUUGGAAGUUUCUAUCGCUAGAAAACUUCAUGGUGAGUGGGAACCUACUAUUAAAAUUAAGAUUAAAGAUCAUGAAUGCUUUGCUUUAUGUGAUUUGGGUGCUAGUGUUUCCAUGAUUCCUAAAACUUUGUGUGAUUUGCUAGGUUUUCGUGAAUUUAAUGAUUGUUCUUUAAGCUUGCAUCUUACGGAUUCCACCAUUAAGAAACCUAUGGGAAGAAUUAAUGAUGUUCUUAUUGUUGCAAAUAGUAAUUAUGUGCCCGCAGAUUUCAUUGUCCUUGAUAUAGAUUGCAAUCCUACAUGUCCUAUUAUUCUUGGUAGACCUUUCCUUAGAACGAUUGGUGCAAUUAUUGAUAUGAAGGAAGGGAAUAUUAGAUUCCAAUUUCCAUUAAGGAAGGGCAUGGAACACUUUCCUACAAAUAAAAUUAAAUUACCUUAUGAAUCUAUUAUGAGAGCCACUUAUGGAUUGCAUACCAAAGAUGAUAAUACUUAGAUCUAUCCUUGCUUUUAUGCCUAGCUAGGGGCGUUAAACGAUAGCGCUUGUUGGGAGGCAACCCAAUUUUAUUUUUGUUUAUUACUUUUUGAUUCUGUUUAGUAAUAAAUAAUUCAUCUAGCCUCUGUUUAGAUGUGGUUUUAUGCUUUUAAUUAGUGUUUGUGCCAAGUAGAACCUUUGGGAAGACUUGGGGAAAGUCUUCGCGAUAUUGCUGUAAAAAAUAGAAACUUUAGCACUCACGAGAUUUGCUACCAUUUUUUACUAGAGAGUGCUAUUUAGUUAAUUCUUUUAGAAUAUGAUUAAUAGAUAAAUUUCUCACGUACAUAAAUUUAUUUUAGAAUUUUUGGGGUUCCAUAAGUACUCGAAACCUACAUAUUACUACAGACUGUUCUGUUUUUGACAGAUUCUGUUUUCUGUGUGUUGUUUGCUUAUUUUGAUGAACCUAUGGCUAGUAAUAGAGUUUAUGAACCAUAGAAAAGUUGGAAUACAGUACGUUUAACACCAAUUUAAAUAAAUAAUGAGUUCAUUACAGUACCUUGAAGUGGUGGUUUGUUUUCUUUUACUAACGGAGCUCACGAGAUGUUCUUUUAAGUUUUGUGUUGUGAAGUUUUCAAGUUUUGGGUAAAGAUUUGAUGGAUUAUGGAACAAAGAGAGGCAAGAGCCUAAGCUUGGGGAUGCCCAAGGCACCCCAAGGUAAAAUCCAAGGACAAUCAAAAGCCUAAGCUUGGGUAUGCCCCGAAAGGCAUCCCCUCUUUCGUCUUCGUCCAUCAGUAACUUUAUUUGGAGCUAUAUUUUUAUUCAUCACAUGAUAUGUGUUUUGCUUGGAGCGUCUUGUAUGAUUUGAGUCUUUGCUUUUUAGUUUACCACAAUCAUCCUUUCUGUACACACCUUUUGGGAGAGACACACAUGAAUUGAAAUUUAUUAGAAUACUCUAUGUGCUUCACUUAUAUCUUUUGAGUUGGAUAAUUUUUGCUCUAGUGCUUUGCUUAUAUCUUUUAGAGCACGGCGGUGGUUCUAUUUUAUAGAAAUAAUUGAUCUCUCAUGAUCCACUUAUAUCAUUUUCAUAGUCCUUUAGAACAACAUGGUAAUUCACUUUGGUUAUAAAUUUUAAAUCCUAAGAGAAGUUGGAUGCUUGAUAGUUGUUUUGAGAUAUAAAGAUGGUAAUAUUAGAGGUGUGCUAGUUGAGUAAUUGUGAAAUUGAUGAAUACUUGUGUUGAAGUUGGCAAGUCUCGUAGCAUGCACGUAUGGUAAACGUUGUGUGACAAAUUUGAAAGCAUGGGGUGUUCUUUGAUUGCUUUCCUUAUGAGUGGCGGUCGAGGACGAGCAAUGGUCUUUUCCUACCAAUCUAUCCCCCUGGGAGCAUGCGUGUAAUGCUUGGUUUUGAUGACUUGUAGAUUUUUUCAAUAAGUAUGUGAUUUCUUUAUGACUAAUGUUGAGUCCAUGGAUUAUACGCACUCUCACCCUUCCAUCAUUGCUAGCCUCUUCGGUACCGUGCAUUGCCCUUUCUCACCUUGAGAGUUGGUGCAAACUUCGUGGGUGCAUCCAAACCCCGUGAUAUGAUACGCUCUAUCACACAUAAGCCUCCUUAUAUAUUCCUCAAAACAACCACUAUACCUACCUAUUAUGGCAUUUCCAUAGCCAUUCCGAGAUAUAUUGUCAUGCAACUUUCCACCGUUCCAUUUAUUAUGACACGCAUCAUCAUUGUCAUAUUGCUUUGCAUGAUCAUGUAGUUGACAUCGUAUUUGUGGCAAAGCCACCAUGCUUAAUUUUUCAUACAUGUCACUCUUGAUUCAUCGCAAUCCCAGUACACCGUCGGAGGCAUUCACAUAGAGUCAUAUUUUGUUCUAAGUAUCAAGUUGUAAUUCUUGAGUUGUAAUUAAAUAAAAGUGUGAUGAUCAUCAUUAAAGCAUUGUCCCAUGUGAGGAAAGGAUGAUAGAGACUAUGAUUCCCCCACAAGUCGGGAUGAGACUCCAGACGAAAAAUAUAUAAAAAAAGAGGCCACAAAAAAGUCCCAAACAAAAAAGGGAGAGAAAAAGUGAUAAGGGACAAUGUUACUAUCCUUUUUCCACACUUGUGCUUCAAAGUAGCACCAUGAUCUUCAUGAUAGAAAGUCUCUUAUUUUGUCACUUUCAUAUACUAGUGGGAAUUUUUCAUUAUAGAACUUGGCUUGUAUAUUCCAGUGAUGGGCUUCCUCAAAUGCCCUAGGUCUUAGUGAGCAAGCAAGUUGGAUGCACACCCACUUAGUUUCUUUGACGAGCUUUCAUAUAUUUAUAGCUCUAGUGCAUCCGUUGCAUGGCAAUCCCUACUCCUUGCAUUGACAUCAAUCGGUGGGCAUCUCCAUAGCCCAUUGAUUAGCCACGUCGAUGUGAGACUUUCUCCCUUUUUGUCUUCUCACACAACCUCAAUCAUCAUAUUCUAUUCCACCCAUAGUGCUAUGUCCAUGGCUCGUGCUCAUAUAUUGCGUAAAAGUUGAAAGAGUUUGAAAAGGCUAAGUAUGAAACAAUUACUUGGCUUGUCAUCGGGGUUGUGCAUGAUGAGAGCAUUUUGUGUGACAAAAAUGAAGCAUGGCCAAGCUAUAUGAUUUUGUAGGGAUAAGUUUUCUUUGGCUAUGUUAUUUUGAUAAGACAUAAUUGCUUGAUUAGCAUACUUGGAGUAUUACUAUUUUUAUGUUAACAAUAAACUUUUAUCUUGAAUCUUUCGGAUCUAAAAAUUCAUGCCAAAAUAGAGAAAAAUACAUUGAAGAACAUGUUAGAAAGCAUUCCACAUCAAUUCUGUUUUUAUCAUUUACCUACUCGAGGACGAGCAGGAAUUAAGCUUGGAGAUGCUUGAUACGUCUCCAACGUAUCUAUAAUUUUUGAUUGUUCCAUGCUAUUAUAUUAUCUGUUUUGGAUGUUAAUGGGCUUUAUUUCACAAUUUUAUAAAUUUUUUGGGACUAACCUAUUAACCCAAGGCCCAGUGCAAAUUGUUGUUUUUUUUGCCUAUUUCAGUGUUUCGUAGAAAAGGAAUAUCAAACGGAGUCCAAAUGGAAUGAAACCUUCGGGAGCAUGAUUUUUGGAACAAACGUGAUCCAAAGGACUUGGAGUGGACGUCAAGAAACGAACAAGGUGUCCACGAGGCAGGGGGCGCGCCCUCCCCCCUCGUGGCUCAACCGACCUACUUCUUCCUCCUAUAUAUGUUCACAUACCCCGAAAACAUCCAGGAGCACCACGAAACCCUAUUUCCACCGCCGCAACCUUCUGUACCCAAGAGAUCCCAUCUUGGGGCCUUUUACGGAGCUCUGUCGGAGAGGGCAUCGAUCACGGAGGGCAUCUACAUCAACUCCAUGGCCCCUCCGAUGAUGUGUGAGUAGUUUACUUCAGACCUUCGGGUCCAUAGUUAUUAGCUAGAUGGCUUCUUCUCUCUCUUUGAAUCUCAAUACAAAAUUCUCCACGAUCUUCUUGGAUAUCUAUUCGAUGUGACUCUUUUUGUGGUGUGUUUGUCGAGAUCCGAUGAAUUGUGGGUUUAUGAUCAAGUCUAUCUAUGAACAAUAUUUGAUUCUUCUUUGAAAUCUUUUAUGUAUGAUUGGUUAUCUUUGCAAGUAUCUUCGAAUUAUCAGUUUGGUUUGGCCUACUAGAUUGAUCUUUCUUGCAAUGGGAGAAGUCCUUAGCUUUGGGUUCAAUCUUGAGGUGCUCGAUCCCAGUGACAGAAAGGGAAACGACAUGUAUUGUAUUGUUGCCAUCGAGGAUAAAAAUAUGGGAUUUAUACCAUAUUGCUUGAGUGUAUCCCUCUACAUCAUGUCAUCUUACCUAAUGCGUUACUCUGUUCUUAUGAACUUAAUACUCUAGAUGCAUGCUGGAUAGCAGUCGAUGUGUGGAGUAAUAGUAGUAGAUGCAGGCAGGAGUUGGUCUACUUCUCAUGGACAUGAUGCCUAUAUACAUGAUCAUGCCUAGAUAUUCUCAUAAUUAUUCACUUUUCUAUCAAUUGCUCGACAGUAAUUUGUUCACCCACUGUUGGUGUCAAAACCGGCGGAUCUCGGGUAGGGGGUCCCGAACUGUGCGUCUAGGCCGGAUGGUAACAGGAGGCAGGGGACACAAAGUUUUACCCAGGUUCGGGCCCUCUCGAUGGAGGUAAAACCCUACGUCCUGCUUGAUUAAUAUUGAUGAUAUGGGUAGUACAAGAGUUGAUCUACCACGAGAUCAGAGAGGCUAAACCCUAUAAGCUAGCCUAUGGUAUGAUUGUUGAUGUGUAUGUUGUCCUACGGACUAGAACCCUCCGGUUUAUAUAGACACCGGAGAGGGUUAGGGUUACAUAUAGUCGGUUACAAUGGUAGGAGAUCUGAACAUCCGUAUCACCAAGCUUGCCUUCCAUGCCAAGGAAAGUCCCUUCCGGACACGGGACGGAGUCUUCAAUCUUGUGUCUUCAUAGUCCAGGAAUCUGGCUUGAAGGUAUUGUUCGGCUAUCCGAACACCCCCUAAUCCAGGACUCCCUCAGUAGCCCCUGAACCAGGCUUCAAUGACGAUGAGUCCGGUGCGCAGAUUGUCUUCGGCAUUGCAAGGCGGGUUCCUCCUCCAAGUACUUCAUAGAAGAUUUUGAACAGAAAGAUAGUGUCCAGCUCUGCAAAAUAAGUUUCCACAUAUUGCCAUAGAGAGAAUAAUAAUAUUAACACAAAUCUAAUCUGUUGACGUAUUCCAUGGUGCGACACGCUACGGCCAAGCCUUUAUCCAUUUAAUUAUCCCACCUCAGCGUGUUAUGCGAGGCGGUUUCCUUGGCACGUCUUGUUGAAGCAGAGAUCAUGUCCCCUCAUUUCGGGAUUCUCAUCAAUAUGGGCAUGGGUAACCCAACCGCGCCUUUGAUUACAGCGCUUGGAGAUAAGCAAGUUUUACCAGGCUGGUGGGGACAUGUAGUUGCGUCCACCCAUAUAAGGGGAUAAGGAUCCACCUUUUCACCCACACCUUCUUCCUCCUCUGCCUAUCCAUUCUUGCGCACUCGAGCUCCAGCGCCCAAGUCCGCACUACCACCUCAACCUUCUCCAGUCAUGUCCGGAGCGGGAGGCAAGUGGAUGGUCUCCUCCGUCACGGAGGGACACAUAAAAAGGCUAAGGAAGGCCGGGUAUCUGGCCAACGACAUCGCGCACCGGCUCCCCGAAAAGGGGUGGCUCAUCCCCACUCCUAGGCCCCAUGAGAGGGUGGUAUUUCUCCCCCAUUUCCUCCGUGGACUGGGCUUCCCUCUGCAUCCAUUUGUCCGGGGGCUCAUGUUCUACUACGGCCUAGAUUUCCAUGAUCUGGCCCCGAACUUCGUCCUCAACAUCUCGGCGUUUAUCGUCGUGUGCGAGGCUUUCCUCUACAUCCGCCCCCAUUUCGGCUUAUGGCUAAAGACCUUCAACGUCAAGCCGAAGGUGGUGCGCGGCAGCCAGGCGGAGUGCGGCGACGCCAUGGUUGGCAAGAUGGCCAACAUCCUGUGGCUCGAGGGCUCCUUUGUGGAGACCCUAAAGGGGUGGCAAUCAGGGUGGUUUUACAUCACCGAGCCGCGCGACACCGAAUGGGUCGCACCCCCUGAGUUCCGAUCCGGCCCCCCCAUGCGGCUCACCUCCUGGAAGGAGACAGGCCUAUCUUGGGGUAAAAAAGGAGAGCUGACCGGACUCCAAACAUGCAUCCAAACCCUGGUGGACAAGAAGCUCAAGCUUGUUAACGUAGUCCAGGUUAUGCUUGUCCACCUGAUCCUCCCGUGUCAACGGCAGGCCUUCAACCUUUGGGAGUUCGACCCGGCGCAGCAUCAAACUCUUAACAGGCUCUUCGACAUGACAUACGAAGAUGCCUGGAGGAUGCUUUCAAGGGCGCCGAGGCUCCCGCACCCGCUGCCGAGGAUCGCGGAUUCAGUACUCAGCAUCAUGCUCAUGCGGUAAGCUGGUUUUGUCCUUUUAUAGGGUAUCAGUUUUUCAUAGUUUGACUCUAUGCGGGAUCUGAGUUCCCUUAUCUUUGAUAGGAUUGGGAGGUGACGUCCAGACAGAUCAACUAUCCGGCUCCUACGCCCGAAGGCCUAGCGGACGCCCAUUUGGCGAAGCUACUGGUUCCGGCACCCUACGUGGUGCCGGAUAAGAAGGCCAAGAAGGCCGCGAGGACUCGAAGGAGUGCCCGGCGCCAGGAGGUGUCGGAUUCGUCAUCCGACGGUCCCGAAGUGCCUUCCUCUCGUGAGAACGAGGAGGAAGAAGAAGAGACCUCUCCGCCUCCAGCGGGAGGAGAGAAGAAAAGGAAGGCCGCCCUCUCUGAGGAGGCCGGAGGGUCCAAGAAGGGGAAAACCCUUCCUCCGGACUGCUCCACCGACGCCGCCGACGACGAAGAGGAGUGGCAGCCCAGGGCCAAGCCCCUGGCGAAAUCGUAAGUAUCCAGAUACCGGAGUGACUCAUAGUAUUCAUUUUUUGCACAACUUUCCCUUAUGUUGAACAUGUUUAUGCAUCCCACCCAAAGACUGGCUCGACGAAUCGUCGGGCGGCUCACUGGACCCGUCGGAUGUGAACUCGCUUCCGACGGCUUCAUCCCCCCAUCCUACGGACGAUACCGAAGUGUUGUCCCAACAGGUUCCAAGCCGGGAGGAGGUGGUCCUGGAGGCGCCGUAAGGCGACCUCCCGGACUCCAGGAGUAAAGGGGAGGAAACCCCCCAGGGCUCCAAGUCCGUCUUAAGGCCGGACACAGCUCUGGAAUCUUCAAAGGUUCCAGAGUCCGGCGGGCGACCUCCUUCCAAGAGGAGCAAGCCUACCGUGCCGGUGACCUCCGUCCAACCGGAGGCGCCGGACAAUAUGUUGGAGGCGCUCCAAGGUGCCUCCAUCGAAGAGGGGCACCGCACUAUUAUGAGUGCGCUGAUCCAGAAGGUUCAGUCCACCAAAAGCAGACUGACUGAAGCUUGUACAAGCCUUUUAACAGGCUUUGAGGUAAGUAAAGAAUGUUUAAAUAAUAUUACCGCAUAGACAGUAGCCCCUGAUGCUCUAUUGGGCGUUCGGGAAGAAAAGCCGAAUAGAGGAUCAAAGAAUUCGUAGGAGUCUAACAAAAGGAGUCAAUAUGCGUAUGCAGGCUUCUCUGCUAGCGUCUGCCGCACUGACUGCGGAAGUGGACGUGCUGAAGCAGAGCCUCGAGAAGUCCGAGCAAGAACUCGGGCGUGCCAAGAAGCAGCUCGAGGAGAAGGAAGGUAAGAAAUACCCUGUUUGAAUAUGUAUAUAAAAAAGGCGCAAUUGCAAAAAAUGACAGGAUUGACAUGGCUAUUGUAGGGGCCACGUCUGAGGUGGAGACCCUUAAGCAAGCGUUGCUCGAGGCCGAGAAAAGUGCGGCCGCGGAGCGCACCGAGCGAGAGAGGUAUGAGGUUGUGGUUGGCAAGGUGUGGCAAGAGCUCCAGGUUCUCAUGAAGAAACAUGAGAGUUUGGAGCUUGACUCGAAGAUGCGAGCGUCCGAGCUCGCGGCAGCUAUAGAAAAUGCCAAGUCUGCCAAGACCGAGUCCCAGAAGACCCUCCAGGAGUUGGAUGAGGUGAAGAAGAUAGCUGCGGGUAAGGCAUUUUUUAUGCAAAGUAAACAUAUAAACAUGAGUUACUUGAUACUUACCCGAAUCCGGAGCUCUCCAGGGGCAUUUGCAAAUCUUGCCCGGAGUGUAUCCGAUGCCGCCGCAUUCUAUCGAGCCGAGGAGGGCAACUCGACGGAGAAGGUGUUCUGUUCUCAAUAUGCUGAGGCCGGACACCCUGUGCCCCUGAGCGACCAGCUGAAGCAACUGGUCGAGCUCCACAAGGCGGCCGAACAGGCCAUGAAGGGCCUCCUAGUUUGGCUGUGGCCUGGAGAGGCUCUGCCUGGGAGCUAUUUCGGGCUGGUGCGGCGGCUGGUGGAGGCAUGUCCGAGGCUUGAAGACAUCAAGCGCUCCAUCUGCAUUGAGGGUGCCCGUAGGGCCCUUGCCCGUGCUAAGGUGCACUGUGGCAAGCUGGAUGUGGAGAAGCUUGUGAAGGACGGGCCACCGCCGGGGAAAGAGCAUCACAAGCCCGAGAAUUAUUAUAAGGAUGUUCUGAAGGGUGCCCGCCUUGUUGCGGAUGAAUGUACCAAGGAUGUAUUCUUUGAGUAAAACCCGCUCGUGUUAUCCUGUGCGCUGAAAACUUGUUCAUAUGCGCUAAGCAAUGCUGCUUGAAUUUAAAAUAUUACCUUCUGUGCGGCUGUUUAUCAAUACUGAGAGAUGGCGAGUCGUCGGCUUCUGCCCCCUUGCCGCUAGUGCUGGGGUGUUCGGGGAUAAACCUGGGCGCUCUUUUUCCCAUAUUUGGGUCCUUCGAGGGAGGCGCUCAGCCCAACGAACGAGGCAAUCGGACUAUAAUGCGUGAACACUCUCACUUAGCCAUAGAAUUCUAUAAUUUUAAAUUUCGGCGAAGCCCCUAGUAUUCGGAAGACCGAGUUUGGGGCGCUAUCCACGCCUUGGCCGGACAGAGCCGACUCCUCGCCCUAAGCGUCAUAAGUCUUUAAGGACUCGAAAAGACCUCUCGAACAGCGACCAGCUCUCGCCUCAUCAUGACGGUCAGUUUUAGCUUUCUCCACUGAGGUGCUCGACCCAGCUCAACCGGGGCACAAUCGCAGUGGUUCUCCUAGUGCUACCUUAGCCGAUAUAGCGAAACGUAACGCACCAAAACAUAGGAGUCGGGCAAACCCAACUAUUGACCCAAGACAUGAUUCGGAGCCGAUGCAUAUAAUGCUAUAAGUUCGGGGUGCCGCACUUGUUAAAGUGUUCGGACUUCUCACACCAUAUUGAGGGGUACUGAAGCCCCUGGCGUAUUUUGGCCGUACCAAAGUGUAUGGGUGCAACAUGUCAUUAAGGAACAUAUAUAUAAAAAAAGGUAAUGCAAAAAAUAGACAAAAGCUAUGCAUUGUUCAUUAAAAUAACUGCGAGCAAAGCAGAACGAUACAAGUAAUGCGAUAAACGAAAAAGUUGGACUAUUUAACAUGUCUGCUCUAGGGGCAAGCUGCGGAAUAGUAUGCAAAACAGGUAUACUGCUUGUGAUAGAGACCACCUGGGAUUUUCGUAAUGCGGCAUGGCUUGUCUGCUUCCCUGGUCCUUGCAUCGUUUGUGCGGCAAUUGAACUGCCGAACAAGCCUUCCGAAGAGUAGAGUCCUCGAAGUAAGAGAAAAGUAUAUAAAAAUCGGCAGCCCCUGGUGUGGUUUAAGCUGUGUUUUGGGCGUGCCGUGAUGGUGCCCCUCCCCCUGUGCCCAUGGUAUUUCUAGAGCAUAGUUAUGUACGCGAAGUACUGGCGUUGCCUUUUUGUGGGGGUUGGGGUUGGGGCCGCAUUGCUAUGCCUGCUCAGAACAUGCCAGACGGUCUUGUUGUAGAUUACUCCAGGCGCGCUUGACUGUGUCCGGACGUUUAAUGGCCGGACUGGAGAACUGCCUGGAGAGGCUGCUUUUUACUUCCGUUGCAAGGGCCGCCGUGUGCUCCUCCGUUCGCAGAGAGCGUUCGGUGUUUCCAUUGACUGUAAUUACUCCUCGAGGGCCUGGCAUCUUGAGCUUAAGGUAUGCGUAGUGCGGGACCGCAUUGAACUUGGCGAAUGCGGUUCGCCCAAGCAGUGCAUGGUAGCCACUGCGGAACGGGACUAUGUCGAAGAUUAACUCCUCGCUUCGGAAAUUAUCUGGAGAUCCGAAGACCACUUCAAGUGUGACUGAGCCUGUACAGCUGGCCUCUACACCUGGUACUAUGCCUUUAAAGGUCAUUUUGGUGGGCUUAAUCCUCGAGGGAUCUAUGCCCAUUUUCCGCACUGUAUCCUGGUAAAGCAGGUUCAGGCUACUGCCGCUGUCCAUAAGGACUCUAGUAAGAUGAAAUCCGUCAAUAAUUGGGUCGAGAACCAAUGCGGCGAAUCCGCCAUGACGGAUGCUAGUGGGAUGGUCUCUUCGAUCAAAGGUGGUCGGGCAGGAGGACCAUGGGUUGAACUUUGGGGCGACUAGCUCUACCGCGUAUACGUCCCUUAACACGCGCUUCCACUCCCUUUUGGGGACGUGGGUGGCGUAUGUCAUGUUCACCAUCCGCACUUGUGGGGGAAAACCCUUUUGUCCAUUGUUGUUCAGCGGCCGGGGCUCCUCGUCGUCAUCGCUAUGCAACCCCUUGUCUUCAUUGUCGGUGCUUAAUCUGCCUGCCUGCUUGAACACCCAACAGUCCCUGUUGGUGUGAUUGACCGGCUUUUUCGGGGUGCCAUGUAUUUGGCACAAGCGGUCGAGUAUUAGGUCCAAGUUGGACGGGCCCCUAGGAUUCCUUUUGAAUGAAUUUUUCUGCUGACCGGAUUUUGAGCCGCUGAAUCUGGCAUUAACUGUCGUAUCCUUAGCAUUGUCGCCGUUGAUGCGGCGCUUCUGCUUGUUGUGACGCGACUUGCCACUAAUGUCCCUGGUGUCCGAACGACCAGGGUUCUUGGUCAUAUUGUUGCUACGAGCAAGCCAGCUGUCUUCUCCCGCGCAAAAGCGGGUCAUGAGUGCCGUGAGUGCUGCCAUAGAUUUCGGCUUCUCCUGUCCUAGGUGUCGGGCAAGCCACUCGUCGCGGAUAUUAUGCUUGAAGGCUGCUAAGGCCUCUACGUCCGGACAGUCGAGUAUUUGAUUUUUCUUUGUUAGGAACCGUGUCCAGAAUUGCCUGGCCGAUUCAUCUGGCUGCUAAAUUACGUGGCUUAGGUCGUCAGUGUCUGGGGGUCGCACAUAAGUGCCCUGGAAAUUGUCGAGGAAUGCGGCUUCCAGGUCCUCCCAACAGCUGAUUGACCCUGUUGGCAGGCUGUUAAGCCACUGCCGGGCUGGUCCUUUAAGCUUGAGUGGGAGGUAUUUGAUGGCGUGGAAAUCAUCGCCGCGGGCCAUGUGGAUAUGAAGGAGAUAAUCCUCGAUCCAUACAGCGGGAUCUGUUGAGCCAUCAUAUGAUUCGAUGUUUACGGGUUUGAAACCCUCGGGGAUUUGAUGAUCCAUUGUUUCAUCUGUGAAGCACAAUGGGUGUGCGGCGCCUCUGUACUGGGCGAUAUCAUGACGUAGCUCCAAUGAGCUUUGUCUACUGUGUUUGGCCCUGCCGAAUUUGUGGCCGGCGUGACGGUUAUCGUCUCGAGCCGUGGGGCGCCUACGCGAUCUGUAGAUCGAUCUUGUUUGCCUUGCCUUGUCCUCCAACAUGUCUCCUAAGUCCGGUGCAUAUUCCCGUGCCUUGGUACGGGGUGCGGCUUGGGUGGAGGGCCAUGAGGCCUCUCUGUUGCGGCCACAAGGUGUCCUGUCGGUCGCGUCGAGUGCUUCCUCCUCUAAUCGGGGUAGCAACCUGUGCUUCGGGUAGCACUUGGAGGGGCGUUCGGGUUUAUGCUCUUCGGCCGCAAGGACUUCAGUCCAUCUAUCGACUAGCCGAUCUUGAUCAGCUUUAAGUUGUUGCUGUUUUUUUCUUGAGGCUUCUUGCCGUGGCCAUAAGCCUGUGUUGAAAACACUCUUGUUUGACGGGAUCCUCCGGCAUGGCGAAUUCGUCGUCGUCGAGGCUUGCCUCGUCUUCGGAGGGAGGCAUGCAAUUAUCGUCCUCGACCUCUCUGUCGGCCGCUCUCUCAUGAGGGCUGGUUUCUCCAUCCUACUGUGCUAAAUCUUGCUCGGGGGGAUGUUCUUCGGCGCUUUCCGUGGUAUUAUUAUCUCCCGUGCUGGAAUCGCCGUUUUUGUGUUGGCGGGAUUUUGAGCGGCGCCGCUGUCGCCGGCGCUUUUGCUAUUUCUUGGAGGGGUCAUCCUCCGCUGUUCCAUCGCCCUCUCCCUCUUUUGGGGUGUCCAUCAUGUAUAUGUCAUAUGACGAGGUGGAUUUCUAGGUCCUAGUAGGCGUUGGUUCUUCAUCAUCUCCUUCAUCGGUGUCCAUACCGUUGAUGUCUUCGGAGUUGAAGUCGAGCAUGUCGGUUAAGUCGUCGACAGUGGCUACAAAGUGGGUGGUGGGUGGGUUUUGAAUUUCUUCAUCGUCCGUACCCCAACCUUGCUGACAGUAGUCCGGCCAGGGCUCUCCUGACAAAGAGAGAGACUUCAGUGAUUUCAGGAUAUCGCCGAAAGGCGAGUGCUGAAAGACGUCCGCGGCCGUGAACUCCAUGAUCGGCGCCCAAUCGGAUUCGCUCGGCAGGGGCGCGGAGGGUUUGGAGUCCGGAGAAGAAUCCGGCUCCAUGGAGUCACGAGUCUUGCAGAGUACGGGGCUGGUGUUCGGCUCAACCGCCGUUGGGAUUGCAGCCCCCGAGGUGGCGUCCAACCGCCCAUCCUCGAUCGACGCGGCCGGCUCCGAACUAGGGGUCGGAGCCGAUGCGGGUGCAGCCUCCAGGGCACUGUUCGGCGGCAGAGCUAGAUCAUGCUCAUUGUGACAGUGCGGCACGCUCAGCAGUGGUUUGAAUCCGUCGAAGAUCAAGUCCCCGCAGAUGUCGGGCGUGUAGUUUAAACUUCCGAAUCUGACCUGACGGCCAGGGGCAUAGCUUUCGAUCUGCUCUAGAUGGCCAAAUGAAUUGGCCCGCAGUGCAAAGCCGCCAAAGGCAAAGAUUUGUCCGGGGAGGAAGGUCUCACCCUGGACUGCAUCGCCAUUGAUGAUCGUAGGAGCCAUCGGGCCUGACGGCGACGGCACAGAGGAACUCUCAAUGAAAGCACCAAUGUCGGUGUCAAAACCGACGGAUCUCGGGUAGGGGGUCCCGAACUGUGCGUCUAGGCCGGAUGGUAACAGGAGGCAGGGGACACGAAGUUUUACCCAGGUCCGGGCCCUCUCGAUGGAGGUAAAACCCUACGUCCUGCUUGAUUAAUAUUGAUGAUAUGGGUAGUACAAGAGUUGAUCUACCACGAGAUCAGAGAGGCUAAACCCUAGAAGCUAGCCUAUGGUAUGAUUGUUGAUGUGUAUGUUGUCCUACGGACUAGAACCCUCCGGUUUAUAUAGACACCGGAGAGGGUUAGGGUUACAUAGAGUCGGUUACAAUGGUAGGAGAUCUGAACAUCCGUAUCGCCAAGCUUGCCUUCCACGCCAAGGAAAGUCCCUUCUGGACACGGGACGGAGUCUUCAAUCUUGUGUCUUCAUAGUCCAGGAGUCCGGCUUGAAGGUAUUGUUCGGCUAUCCGAACACCCCCUAAUCCAGGACUCCCUCACCCCCCUAAUACUUAUGCUAUCUUGAGAGAAGCCACUAGUGAAACCUAUGGCCCCCGGGUCUAUUUUCUAUCAUAUAAGUUUCCAAUCUAUUUUAUUUUGCAAUCUUUACUUUCAAUCUAUAUCAUAAAAAUACCAAAAAUAUUUAUCUUAUUAUUAUUAUCUCUAUCAGAUCUCACUCUCGUAAGUGAUUGUGAAGGGAUUGACAACCCAUUUAUCACGUUGAUUGCGAGGUUCUUAUUUGUUUGUGUAGGUACGAGGGACUUGCGUGUGGCCUCCUACUGGAUUGAUACCUUGGUUCUAAAAAACUGAGGGAAAUACUUACGCUACUUUGAUGCAUCACCCUUUCCUCUUCAAGGGAAAACCAACACAGUGCUCAAGAGGUAGCAGUGCCACUGAAGCAAUAUUGGAGUCUGAACUAGUGGAAUCGGUCAGACCGAGACACAGUUUGGUGGCUCCGAGAUUUCUAGGGUUUCACUGAGAACCGAACUUGGUCACACCGAUUGGCAAGUUUCGGUUAGACCAAAAGUUACAAGUACAAUAGCCUAAGCCAAAUCGGUGAGACCGAUUUCUACAACUCGAUCGGUCCAAGAUGAGUUCGACGGAAACCUUUUUCGAAUCAAAACUAAUAUAAAGGAAGUUUUUGUUGGAUAGAGUGAUCUCAUACGUGGUAAGAAGGAUAGCAAAUCACACCCAGAAGUGGAAUCAACAAUUUGGUCAAUGUGUGGCAGGGGGAAGGGUCUUUAGGACAUGUGUUGUUCAAGUCCGUGAAAUCAAUGCAAAGCCUCCAUUUUCCGUUUGCCUUGCACACCACCAUUGGAUUUGCUAACCAAGUUGGAUGCAGUACCCCUCUGACCAGACCAGCUGCUUCAAGCUUCUUGAUUUCCUCAGCAAUAAACUGCUAUUGCUCCAAAGCUUUCUUUCUGACCUUUUGCUUGACGGGCCGAGCAUGAGGGCAGACAGCAAGGUGGUUCUCGAUUACCUCCCUAGGAACACCAGGGAUGUCAGAUGGCUGCCAAGCAAACACAUCGACAUUCGCCCGCAGGAAGGCUACGAGCGUGCUUUCCUAUUUGUCGCCAAGGGUGGCGUUGAUGGUGAAUGUACUGUUAGCGCCAUCCUAUCUUGCCGGAACCCUCUUCACGGUAGGUGAAGCAACCUUGGGUCUCUUGCUAGUGGAACUCUCAGGCAGGUCAUCAACGGGUGCAAUGCACUCUGAAGAGGCGCGCUUCCCGGAUUCCUUGCUGGCAUCUCUGCUAGCCUUCUUUCCCUUCUUUGUUUCCUUGGCUGGAGCGGGGGCGUCAGCUGCCUUAGCUGCUACCACAUCCCGGUACAUUUUGUCCACACAUAUGAUUGCAUCUUUCUUGUCUGGUGGGAUGGAAAUGACACCCAUUGGCCCUGGCAUCUUCAAAGUGUUGUAGGCAUAGUGGGAUGCUGCCAUGAAGUUUGCCAGAGCUGGACGACCAAGAAUCCCAUUGUAAGUCAAAGGGCGUUCAACAACGUCAAACACGACCCUCUCAGUCCGGUAGUUUAGUUCCCCGCCAAAUGUCACAAACAAUGUGAUCUUCCCCUUUGGCCGGCUCCUGCCGGCGUUGAUUCCUUGGAAUGUACCCGUGGCCUUGAGUUCUUCAUCAUGAAUCUGUAGCAUGCUGACCACCUUAGGGGAGAUCAAAUUCAGCCCAGCCCCACCGUCAACUAGCAUCUUCGUGACCUUGAGGUUGCGGAUCAUUGGAGAAACCAACAGUGGCAAGCACCCUACCGUGGUAGUGUGGUCAGGGUGAUCCUCUUCGUCAAAGAUGAUAGGCGUGUGGGACCAUUUUAGUGGCCUUUGAGAAUCCACGAUUGGCUCCACGGCAUUGAGUUCUCAUGCCCAUUUCUUGAGUUGCCAAUGAGAGGAGUGCAAGGACGCACCUCCAUCAAUGCACAUGGCUUCAGCCGCCUUCUGGAAUUCUUGUUCGUUGGUUCCUUCCUCAUCUUCCUCAUGACUUACAUCAUCUCCUUCUUUCUUUUCACGCCCCUAGUGGGUUUUUCUUUCUGCUGUGGGGCCUUGUCAUGGCGGCCUCCUUUACCACCAUGGCCCUUCCUGCCAGCACCUUCUUGGCUUCUCUCCCUGUCACGCUUCUCGUAUUCAGCCUUUUGCUUUUGAACAAGUUGCUCAACUUGAUGACACUCUUGGAGAUCAUGGCCCUUGGUGCGGUGGAUCUUGUAGUAUGGCCCAUCGAACCAUUGGGGAUCGUUGCAGAAAUUAAAAAAAUUCUAUGCAUCACCAAGAUCAAUCUAUGGGGAGACUAGCAACGAGAGAGAGGGGAGUGCAUCUUCAUACCCUUGAAGAUCGUGAUGCGGAAGCGUUACAAGAACGCGGAUGAAGGAGUCGUACUCGUAGCGAUUCAGAUCGCGGUUGAUUCCGAUCUAAGCGCCGAAGAACGGCGCCUCCGCGUUCAACACACGUACAACCCGGGGACGUCUCCUCCUUCUUGAUCCAGCAAGGGGAGAGGAGAAGUUGAGGGAGAGCUCCGGCAGCACGAUGGCGUGGUGGUGGAGCUUGCAGUUCUCCGGCAGGGCUUCACCAAGCACUACGGAGGAGGAGGAGGAGGAGGAGGAGGUGUUGGGGAGGGAGAGGGCUGCGCCAGGGGAAGGGGUGCGGCUCCCAUGUUCCUCCCCACUAUAUAUAGGGGUGGAGGGGUUUGGUUUCUUGCCCUCCAAGUCCAUUGGGGCGUUGGCAAAGGUGGGGGAAAGAAAUCCCAUCAUUUCCCUUCCCCACCGAUUGUUAUCCCCCUUUUUUAGGGAUCUUGAUCUUAUUCCUUCUAAGGGGGGAUCUUGGUGUGCCUUGACCAGGGGUGUGGGGCCUUGCCCCCACUACCCACAUUCAUGUGGGUCCCCCCAUGCAGGUGGGCCCCACUCCGGAACCUUCUAGAACCUUCCCGGUACAAUACCGAAAAAUCCCGAACAUUUUCCGGUGGCCAAAAUAGGACUUCCCAUAUAUAAAUCUUUACCUCCGGACCAUUCCGGAACUCCUCGUGACGUCCGGGAUCUCAUCCGGGACUACGAACAACAUUCGGUAACUGCACACUAAUUCCCAUAACAACUCUAGCGCCACCGAACCUUAAGUGUGUAGACCCUACGGGUUCGGGAAUCAUGCAGACAUGACCGAGACAGCUCUCUGGCCAAUAACCAACAGCGUGAUUUGGAUACCCAUGUUGGCUCCCACAUGUUCCAUGAUGAUCUCAUCGGAUGAACCACGAUGUUGGGGAUUCAAUCAAUCCUGUAUACAAUUCCCUUUGUCAAUCGGUACGUUACUUGCCCGAGAUUCAAUCGUCGAUAUCCCAAUACCUCGUUCAAUGUCGUUACCGGCAAGUCGCUUUUACUCGUUCCUUAACACAUCAUCCCGUGAUCAACUCUUUGGUCACAUUGAGCUCAUUAUGAUGAUGUCCUACCGAGUGGGCCCAGAGAUACCUCUCCGUCACACGGAGUGACAAAUCCCAGUCUCGAUUCAUGCCAACCCAACAGACACUUUUGGAGAUACCCGUAGUGUGCCUUUAUAACCACCCAGUUACGUUGUGACAUUUGGCACACCCAAAGCAUUCCUGCGGUAUCCGGGAGUUGCACAAUCUCAUGGUCUAAGGAAAUGAUACUUGACAUUAGAAAAGCUUUAGCAGACGAACUACACGAUCUUGUGCUAUGCUUAGGAUUGGGUCUUGUCCAUCACAUCAUUCUCCUAAUGACGUGAUCCCGUUAUCAAUGACAUCCAAUGUCCAUGGUCAAGAAACCGUAACCAUCUAUUGAUCAACGAGCUAGUCAACUAGAGGCUUACUAGGGACAUACUGUGGUCUAUGUAUUCACACAUGUAUUACGGUCUCCGGUUAAUACAAUUAUAGCAUGAACAAUAGAAAAUUAUCAUGAAUAAGGGAGUAUAAUAAUAACCAUUUUAUUAUUGCCUCUAGCGCAUAUUUCCAAUACGAAUUGUCCGGCUUUUUCUGCUGCUGCGGCCUCGGCAAUCAGCGCAUGCAGCAGCUCCCUUGUGGGGGGCCUCAGUCUUGGUUUUCUUGCUAGUACCAGGAUCACCAGAGCUCUCAAUGGCCAAUACUCCUUAUCCUUGUGCUUCCUAUUGAGCCUUUAAUUCCUCCCCUUUGGGUUGGCAGCACCGUCAUCGUCAUCUGAAUCGAUUUCAACGCCAGCCUCCUCUUCGGGGAGCCACCUUCCUUCUUCAGCCCGAGCACACUUAUCCGCCAAGGUGUAUAACUCAUUGACGAUAUUGGGCAACCGGACGUUCAUCUUGGCCCGCAUCCUUUUGUUGUGCACAUUCGAGUGGAACGCGACAAUCAUGGCUGCAGGAUGUAUCUUCGGGAUGUUACGGUGUACUCGACUAAACCUCUAUAUGUACUAACACAGAUCCUCUCCUUCCUUCUGUGGAAGGACCUGCAGAUCACUAGGCUGUCCAGGCUCUUGGUAGCUGCCUAUGAAGGCGCCAACAAACUCAUUGCACAAGUUUGCCCAUGAUUAAAUGGAGUUUUCAGGCAGGUGCAUCAGCCAUGAUCUCACAUUUGGCUUAAGAGCCAAAGGGAAAUAGUUGGCGAACACCUUCUCAUCUCUGCCAUCAGCGGCUUGAACAACAAUUGUAUAAAUGCUCAAAAACUCUACCGGGUUUAACUUUCCAUCAUAUUUUUCUGGUAGUUCAGGCUUGAAAACGCGGGCAGAUGGCCAGCGGACCUGCCGCAGCUCACGAGUGAAGGCAGGGCACCCAACCUCGAAAGGUAGGUACCUGCCAGCACUGAGCGCGGGCUCGUCAUCGUCUGGUCCAUUGCGCCUGUCAGACUGACGGUGUGCCUUUCAACGUCGCUCUAUGGUGACUCGUGCAUCUUCCUUCCGCUGGUCUUCUAGAACCCGCCGCUGAUCACGACGGGUUUGUGGGUCAGACGAAGCCAUCAAUGUCUCGUCGGGCUCAUUGACUCAUUGAGCUCACCGAGGCUGCCACUUGGUCUGUUGUCGCGGAGGGGAUUGCACCAUUGGUGUAGCCUUCUCAAACGACCAACUUCACAGGUUGUCGUCGCCAUUCGCUGGCAUUGUGAUGGCUCUGCAUGCUGUGAUUUACCGGCUUCAACAAAGCCAAUCAAACUCUGGAUGGUGGCCCUCCACUCAUCCAUCUUGUCAGCCGUUGGCGAAAAGUUCAACAGGAGUUGGGCUCGCGUCAUUGCUUCUACGGCCAUACUUGGCAUGGUUAGUAAGGUAGACUGCGACGUCGCUCGACUUCUAAAAGA
rnacentral:lncRNA from 1 species